rnacentral:lncRNA from 1 species
CACCGUUCCACAUCCGACCGGGGCGCAUCGUCGGCCCCCAUCCGCUUCCCUCCCGACAAUUACAAGCACUCUUUGACUCUCUUUUCAAAGUCUUUUUCAUCUUUCCCUCGCGGUACUUGUUCGUUAUCGGUCUCUCGCCAGUAUUUUGCCUUGGAUGGAAUUCACCGCCCUAUUUGGGCUGCAUUCCCAAACAACCCAACUCGUAGACAGUGCCUCGUGGUGCGACAGGGUCCGAGUACGACGGGGCUCUCACCCUCUCCAGUACCCCCUUCUAGGAGACUUGGGCCCGGUCCACCAUUGAGGACGCUUCUCCAUACUACAAUUCGGACGACUUAACCGCCCGAUUCUAAGGAUGAUUUGUUCUCGGUUUGCUCGCCGUUACAAGGGGAAUACUUGUAAGUUUCUUUUCCUCCGCUUAUUGAUAUGCUUAAUCUCACUGGGUAAUCCCGCCUAACCUGGGGUCGCGGUCGGAGCGCCUGGUGAGGCGAAGUGAGGGUCGGAGAGUCUUGACUUGCGACGGGUUGUAGCCGCGACAACAAGAGAGAGUUGAGUUUCAACCACCACUUGCCGCGACGUCCGUCGAUGUGGACUCGUAUUUAGGCCAGCCGCGCGCUCGGGGCGCACCGAAGGACAUGUUCCGCCCCUGCGCUUAGCCUUGGGGCGUGCGGCGGGGGAGGGGGGCGACGCGAUGCGAUGCGUGAUGCCCAGGUAGACGUGCCCUCGGCCAAAUAGCUUUGGGUGAAACUUGCAUUCAAAGACUCGAUGGUUCACGAGAAUCUGCAAUUCACACCAAGUAUCACAUUUUGCUACGUUCUUAGUCGAUGUGAGAGUCGAGAUAUCUAUUGCCGAGAGUUAUUUCUGUUUAUAGAGCAGCGCACAUCCCCUCCCCCACGAUCCGCAUAUGGGACGUGAGGGGAGGACUGUUGGUUGUAGUAUUCCUUGGCGCUUUCCGCGCUGGGGUUCGUUGGUCGCCCAAAGAGCUUACGCGCGUCGGGUGAUAAAAGGGAGGCGCGCGACAAGCGAGCGCCGUCCCCAGGUGUUUAAAAUGAGUUCGCGGGUCGUUCUGCUAUGCAGGUUUCGACAAUGAUCCUUCCAUAGGUUCACCUACGGAAACCUUGUUAUGACUUCUCCUUUCUCUAAAUGAUAAGGUUUAAUGGACUUCUCACGAUGUCGCGGGCAGUGAACCGCCCACGUCGCCGCGAUCUGAACAUUUCACUGGAUCAUUCAAUCGGUGGGAGCAACGGGCGGUGUGUACAAAGGGCAGGGACGUAGUCAACGCAAGCUGAUGACUCACACUUACUAGGAAUUGAGCGUUAAAGACCAACAAUUGCAAUGAUCUAUCCCCAUCACAAUAAAUUUUCAAAGAUUACCUGGGCCUGUGGGCUAAGGCUAUAAGCUCGUUGAAUACAUCAGUGUAGCACGCGUGCAGCCCAGAACAUCUAAGGGCAUCACAGACCUGUUAUUGCCUCAAACUUCCGCGGCCUAAAAAGUUGUAGUCCCUCUAAGAAGCUGUCCGCGAAGGGAUACCUCCGCAUAGCUAGUUAGAAGGCUGAGGUCUCAUUCUCUAACGGAAUUAACCAGACAAAUCGCUCCAUCAACUAAGAACGGCCAUGCACCACCACCCAUAGAAUCAAGAAAGAGCUCUCAGUCUGUCAAUCCUAACUAUGUCUAGACCUUGUAAGUUUCCCCGUGUUGAGUCAAAUUAAGCUGCAGGCUCCACUCCUGGUGGUGCCCUUCCAUUAAUUCUUUUAAGUUUCAUCCUUACGACCAUACUCCCCCCGGAACCCAAAAACUUUGAUUUCUCAUAAGGUGUCGGCGGAGUCCUAAAAGCAUUAUCCGCCGAUCCCUGGUCGGCAUUGUUUAUGGUUAAGACUAGGACGGUAUCUGCUCGACUUUGAGCCCCAACUUUCGUUCUUGAUUAAUGAAAAUAUCCUUGGUGCUUUCACAGUUGUUCAUCUUUCAUAAAUCGAAGAAUUUCACCUCUGAAUAUGAAAUAUGAAUGCCCCCGACUAUCCCUGUUAAUCAUUACUCCGACCCCGAAGGACAACAUAAUAGGACUGAAAUCCUAUAAUGUUAUCCCAUGUUAAUGUAUACAGAGCGUAGUAUCACGGACUUAGAGUAAUCGCUAAGACUCCGUGCGGCACUUGACAACUUACUCAUGAUUAUUUCACGAUCUCGUAAGCUCAAGUAAGCCUUUAAACUUGGAACUCUAAGAGAAUAUAAAGAAAGAAAAAGAAAGACUUUGGAAGAGAGGACUUGUAUUAGAUUGUUGGAUGAGUUACAAAUGAGAGCCCUCUAUUUAUACUACUCCCUAAGGGUCUAAGAGGAAAUAAAUAUUACAAGUCCCGAAGCAAUUACAUGUUCUACGUUCCGUAGAAUAUGUCUCUAGCUCUUCCAAAAGGCUCCUAGAAUUCUCUAGUCUGCCCCAAGGAUCUAGAAGGCUCUAGAGUCUUCUACAAACCUCUCCAAGGCUCUAGGGCCGUCUGCCCCAUUCGGAUGCUGCAAAAUGGCCAGAAUUGUGGCGUGUCCUCACACUCCUCUCUACCUAAUGAUGCGGCAACCGCGACGCAUCACUGCAAAAAUUCCUGGACUUUGUCCUUGAACUGCCACAAUUCUUCGUACUUCUCCCACGUGGCUUCUUCAGGAGUUUGUCCCUUCCAAUGUACGAGGAAAAUAUCGUUGUCUUAUUGUCCUCGUUUCCGUUUGGCUUUGUAAUCUAUGAUGGCUUCAAUUUCUCGGUCAUGCGAUUUAUUGACAGUGAUAGGGGCCCGUUGUGAUUUGUUCCGGGUGGAUCUUCAAGUGUGGAGGUAACUCCAACUUGUAUGAGAUUUUUCCCACCUUGGCAACAAUCUUGAAUGGACCCUCAUAUUUACGCACUAAGUUGUGAUGGACGCCUCUUAGUUCCUUAAACUGCCUCGGAUUAAACUUUACCAAAACCAUAUCGCCUUCUUGGUAGUCUGUGGGACGACGCCUUCGGUUGGCGAACUUUUUCGUCCUCUUUGCUGCCUUGUCCAAGUAAGACUCGGCAGUAUCAAGUUGUUCUUCCAAUACCUUGGCAAGAUGGUAAGCGCCCAAACUCUUCCCCUCAAACGUAGUUGGUAGUGAAUGCGGAGUUUGGGGUUGCUGACCCGUUGCCAACUCGAAUGGUGUGCGUCCGGUGGAUUCACUCCUCUGAAAAUUAUAAGAAAAUUGCGCUAUGUCUAGGAGCUUAGCCGAAUCUUUCUGGUGCGCACUGACGUAGUGCCUAAGAUAGCACUCUAACAAAGCGUUGACGCGUUCAGUCUGGCCGUCGGUUUGCGGGUGGAAACUUGUGGAAAAGUGAAUUCUUGUGCCAAGAAUUUCGAAGAGUUCAUUCCAAGUAUGAUCUCAAAUUCACCAAGCGGCAUCACCAUCAAGUCAUGUUUUCCCACCCAACUUCAAAUCUACAUAGACACACCAUAAGCCAUGCCCACAAUGGCUUGUGCCUUAGCAUUGACGGUUUUGACAUAGGAAGGGGUUUUAGACAACUUUAGCCCCAAUUUUGUAGCAAUUUUCACAUCUACAAACAUAUGAGUGGCCCCUGUAUCAACCAUUGCCAUCACACGUUGUUCUUUCACUUUCAUUUCUAUAUGAAUUAGGGAAGCAUGAGGAUUAGAAGUACUAGCCAUUUCUCCAACAUUAUUAAUCCCUGUAAUAUGAUUGAAGGACAAUCCCAAUGGGUUUGCCAUUGCAGCCACGAUUUCUUCAUCCUCCUCCCGUUGAUUCAUAUUUCCAGCAAGCAAAGCAUUCAGUUUUUCCCAGUUUGGACAAGAUUUGGCCAACUGAGGACCGCCACAAGUCCAACAACCCUUAGAAUUUCCAUCUUUGUUCUUUGGCCUAUCUUUCACAUCCUUCAUUUGUAACUUUCCUUUGUCAUUUGUAUUGUCCUUACGACUAUCCUUUUUCCAUUCCUCUUUCUUCUCAUUCUUUUUCUUAGUUUUUGAAGUGGAGGGAACAUCUUUCAAAGGACGAGUCCUCCGGAAAUCAACCAACGAAUCUGCAGUAGCAAUUCCACCGGGCAGAUCUUUAACAUUCUGCCUCCGUAGUUUGUUUUGAGCCCAGCCUUGCAUACCCGAAAUGAAGUUGUCUAAUUUAUCCUCAUCAGAUAUAUUAUGUAUGUCUAACAUCACAGAGGUAAAUUAUUUAAUGUAUUCCCUCACCGAACCCGUCUGCCUUAGCCUUUUCAAUUUAUCCCUUGCAAGCCAAGAUGCGUUGCUAGGAAGAAAUUGAAUCACUCAUUUCUUUUAUUAACUUAUCCCAUUUAUCAAUUACAAGACGACCAGCACUUACAUAAUCUGAAUUUCGAGUCCUCCACAAAAGUUUAGCAUCACCCGUUAAAUACAUUGUGGUAAUAUUUAACUUGUCAUCGUCAGGCACCCUUGCAGCAGUAAAAUACUGUUCCAUGUCCCAAAUGAAAUUUUCCAGUUCUUUAGAACUUCUUGCACCACUAAAGGCCUUAGGUUCUAGAAUGUUAACCUUAGAUGAUUCAACACGAUUUGAACUCAACGUAGCCACAGCCCGACACAAUACAACGAGCUCUGCACGAAGGUUCUCAUUUUCCUUCAGCAGUCCCUCAAGUUUUUGCGUAGUAGUGGUACGAAAAUCCAAGAUUUCAGUGAUAUGAUUAUCAACAUCCUGUCGAUAUACACCAUUCCCCCCCUGAACUUUCUCAGCAUCAAGUCUCAAAUCAAUGACUUGUGUAAAUAAAUCCACAAACGUAGGAACUCAAAAAAUAUCAUCAGUAAACCCAACGAAGGAUUCAAUUUUUCAUGCCAGUUCCCGCAGUUCUGCGUUCUUCACCAUCGUUCAACCGUGCUCUUAUACCAAUUGAAAUAGGGCCAAUUUUUUUUUACCCAACACCACUCUAGGCAGUCUUACAAACGUCUGCAACACUCAGCCUACUUUACACCCAUGAAAUUGACUAAGUAUAGAAAUACUUAAUCAUCAAAGUUCACUAGCAAGAAGACAUUACAAGAACUUGUCCCAACCUUUAAUAAUCCGUAAUUAAUACAAAGGAAGGCUUCAUGAAUUUGUCUAAGGCUAAAAACACUCUGCCUAAGCCUUAGAUGAAUUUCCAGCCUUAAUAAAAAUUCUGUACAAUGGCAGUUACAUGCGGCAGUUACAAAUGACACUUGUCCGACACUUGUCAUCACAGGGUUCAAAACUAAGUUUCCAACAGCUAUAUUUCCAACAGAUAGAAUCUAAUUCAAAUUACAUUCUUAUCUACAUGAAAUACUAAUAUUAUAACACUUAGAAUAUUUCAAGCUUCAUUCCAACACUUAGAAUAUUUCAGCCAGCUUCCAACACUUAGAAUACUUUAUCUGUCCUCCAACACUUAGUUUUAUUUCACCAAUUCGGGUGAAUUGCCUUUGUUCUUGACAUUGUCAAGUCUUCACAGCCUUGCCUUGUCAUGCAAACAUGUUGUCUUGCAAAUUCCCUUAGCCCGCACGUAAGCCAUGCACGUUCAAGCUACGUUGCCAACACCCAAGCACCUUAAACUUGUGUUGCACUGUUUUUCCAUCAUACAUGUCAAGACCAAUGCCCAAGUCCUUGACAUGUCUGCACGUAGUUAGAUCCAGUAGUUUGCGGGUCUAACAGUAGGCCACUAUCCUACGAUCAAAAGAUGAUAGGGAAUGAAUUUUAAUGAUGCGUUGCCGGCACGAUGGUCGUGUGAACCGUCGAGUUAAUUAUGAAUCAUCGGAGACACGAGCCGAGCCCGCGUGGACCUUUUAUCUAAUAAAUACAUCCCUUCCAGAAGUCGGGGUUUGUUGCAUGUAUUAGCUCUAGAAUUACUAUGGUUAUCUGAGUAGUAGAUACCAUCAAACAAACUAUAACUGAUUUAAUGAGACAUUCGCAGUUUCACAGUCUGAAUUUGUUCAUACUUACACAUGCAUGUCUUAAUCUUUGAGACAAGCAUAUGACUACUCGCAGGAUCAACCAGGUAGCAUUUCUCAACGACCCCGCGUGCCUCAUGAGCAUGGCGCGCCCUUUUGGUCAUGGCUGGGUCAAAGGCAAGCGCGACAGUUAUUCACAAGGAGCAUUCAUUUUGGGAAGAUAGAAGUCGGUGAAGGCCCCAUGCCCACUGCGUCUACCGUAUGUGAGAAAUCGAUGCGCCACUCACGGACCACACCAUCGUAUGAUGAAGCGAGGGAAGGCGUGGGACGCGAAAGCGUCUUUUGGGUUCACCGUGCACAUGGGAUGCAAGGGGCUAAAGGCGACCGUUUGCACAUACACAAUGCCCACGCAUUAGGUAUGCAACACAGGAUUCCGACGUCUGAACAUCCUAGAUUGUGCUUCAUCCGCCACCGAAUUGGCAUGCGAGUUAGGACAUCACUGCUCGAAGCAAGGAUCCAACCUCACCACACAUUCCCAAUACCACUCAUGCGUCGUACAUGAAUAGCUCCCUCAAUGCACGCCCGACAUCCACCCCAAUGCCCGACAUGAGACAUCGUGCGACGAUGCCGAUGCCUUCUUUGCAAGGCCAAUGCUACACCCGCCGUUGCGCGCCUGCCCAAGGGAGUUGAGAAUUUAAUCACUUCAAAGAUUGUAGGAGGAAGACAAAGGUUCAAACACGGGAACCGCCCCUAACGUCGUUCGACCGUGUGUGCUGUCAAAAGGCGGUGAUGGCACGCCACGCCUGAUGUCGUUCGACCAUGUUUGUUGUCCAAGGGAUAUGAUGACAUGCCACGCCCAACGUCGUUCUACCGUGUUUGCCGUCCAAGGGCUAUGAUGGCAUGCCACGCCCGACAUCUUUCGACUGUGUGUGCUGCCCAAAGGCGAUGAUGGCAUGCCACGCCCGACGUCGUUCGACCGUGUGUGCUGUCCUAAGGCGGUGAUGUCAUGUCACGCCCGACGUUGUUCGACCGUGUGUGCUGCCCAAAGGUGAUGAUGGCAUGCCACGCCCGACGUCGUUCGAUCGUGUUUGCCAUCCAAGGGCGAUGAUGGCAUGCCACGCCCGAUGUCGUCCGACUGUGUGAGCUAGUCCAAAGGCGAUGAUGGCAUGCCACGCCCGACGUUGUUCGACCGUAUGUGCAGCCCAAAGGCGAUGAUGGCAUGCCACGCCCGACGUCGUUCGACCGUGUGUGCUGCCUUAAAGCGAUUAUGGCAUGCCACGCCUGACAUCGUUCCACCGUGUGUGCUGUCCAAAGGCGGUGAUGGCAUGUCACGCCUGACAUAGUUUGACCGUUUGUGCUGUCCAAAGGCGGUGAUGUCAUGCCACGCCUGACGUCCUUCGACCGUGUGUGCUGCCCAAAGGCGAUGAUGGCAUGCCACGCCCGGUGUCAUUCGACCGUGUGUGCUGUCCAAAGGCGGUGAUGGCUUGUCAUGCUUGGCGUCAUUCGACCGUGUUUGCCGUCCAAGGGCUAUGAUGUCAUGCCACGCCCGAUGUCGUUCAAUUUGCCCCUUGACAUCUAACUUGGCUUUAAAAAUUGCACCAGACAUCUCAAAAGCCUCUUAUAGUGACAUUCCAUUAGUCCCUUAACAUGUCAUUAGGAUUGAUAAAUGAACUCAACAUCAUGAAAACCUCGCAAUGGGGAUUAGUUAUGAGACAAGUGUUUGACCAUCGUAGAACGUAUAGCUCAACACUUAGCGACAGACUAGUGAACAUCACGUGUCAUGUUACUUCUUGUACUUAUAUUUCAACACUUAGUUGUUUUUUUCCCUUCCAAGCAUGCAAGCAGCACGCGAACCUCUCAUUUGAAAAGUUAGAAAUGAUUGUAUUUGAUUUUGGGGGAAGGGGAGUGUGGGGGGGGGGGGACGAAUCAGAGCGACAAAGGGCUGAAUCUCAGUGGAUCGUGGUAGCAAGGACACUCUGCAACUUACAAUACCCCAUCGCGUAUUUAAGUCGUCUGCAAAUGAUUCUACCUACUGCUCAAUGGAAAUUGUACUUCAAGGCGGUCACUGCGACGCUUCCGUCGUGGCAACUUAACCAACGACACGUGCCCUUGGCGGCCAUAGGCCCCUGCUGCGGUUCGGCAAGCGGACGGCGGGCGCAUGCGUCGCUUCUUAGCCCGCAUUCUGACUUAGAGGCGUUCAGUAAUAAUCCAGCACACGGUAUCUUCACGCCACUGGCUUUUCAAACAAGCGCGAUGGCCAAUUAUGUGAAUCAACGGUUCCUCUCGUACUAGGUUGAAUUACUAUUACGACACUGUCAUCAUUAGGGUAAAAUUAACCUGUCUCACGACGGUCUAAACCCAGCUCACGUUCCCUAUUGGUGGGUGAACAUUCCAACACAUUGUGAAUUCUGCUUCACAAUGAUAGGAAGAACCAACAUCGAAGGAUCAAAAAGCAACAUCGCUAUGAACGCUUGGUUGCCACAAGCUAGUUAUCCCUAUGGUAACUUUUCUGACACCUCUAGCUUCGAAUUCCGAAGGUCUAAAGGAUCGUUAGGCUACACUUUCACGGUUCGUAUUCGCACUGAUUUCUGUUCUUAUUGAGCUCAUCUUAGGACACCUGCGUUAUCUUUAAACAAAUGUACCGCCCCAGCCAAACUCCCCACUUGACAAUGUCUUCCGCCCGGAUAGGCCCGAGAAGCGAGCCUUAGGUCCAAAAAGAGGGGCAAUGCCCCGCUUCUGAUUCAAAUUUUUACAUCAAGCGCUCACGCAACACGUCUACUAAGCCCACAGGAUGCCCUUGACGUCCGCCUGCUUUCGCCUCUGUUGUCCCGCAGACGUCGCUGGCAUGUUUUUGUUGACACCAACGGCGUAGCACGGACAAGCUAUGCAUGUCGUCAAGCGCCCACGCAACACGCCAACUUAUCCCACAAGACGCCUGUGACGUCCGCCUGCCACCGCCUCAACCGCCCCGCAAACGUUGCUAGCAUGUUUUUGUAGACGUCCAACGGCGUAGCACGAAUGAGCCAUGCAUGCCAUCAAGCACCCAUGAAGCACGCCUACUUAUCCCACCAGACGCCCUUGACGUCCGCCUGCCUUUGUCUCACUCAACCCGUCGACAUCGCCGACGUGUUUUUGUAAAUGCCGAAUAGCAUAGUACGGACAAGUCAAGCAUGCCAUCAAGCGCCCACGCAACACGCCUACUAAGCCCACGGGACGCCUAUGCCGUCUGCCUGCCUACGCCUUAGUCUACCUCCAACACCGCUAUCCCCCUUAUAUAUGCUUAAAAAAGUUUUACCCAUGUGACAAGAGUAGACAUGGAUUUUCUAGAGAAUCGUAAUGGAAACGUACAACCCAAAUAUGCACGUUCUAAGGUACAAACACACAUCAACUUUCACAAAUGACUUUAUAUAUAUAAAAAGUAUUCUUCAACAUUUUUUUAAUUUUUUUUUGAAAUUUCCAUAAAAUUAGUAAUAAGUUAAUAAAAAUAGGGAAAAUAUAAAAAAUAAUAUGAAAUAAACUCCGAAAAUUCACAAAUAAAUAAGGGAACCUUAAACUAAAAAAUUUAAUAAAUUUUAAUUUUAAAAGGAGAUGUAAAAAAUUUAAAAGCAUAAAAAUAAAUUAUAAAAUAAUGAUUAUAAGUCAAAAAAAUAUGGAGAUGCUCAAAAACACUUCUAAACGUGUCAAAUUAAUGAUAAGAUACAUAUUUACACAAAUAAAAGAUGUUUCAAUAUCGUACGAACCGUAAAAGUAAUGAAAAUGAUGCGAAAAAGCCAUGUUAGGCGGAAACAUUAAAGAAUAGAUAAUGAAAAGUAGAUGAAUAUGUUUGUUAUGCAUAAAGGUUGUUUCAAAAUCCUUUGAUUUAUGCACGGCAUGAACAUCGGCAUGUUUCGUCUAGAAUUCGAACAAUGUCGCGCAAGCAGUAACCGAUGCGGGCAGAACACAGCCGACCGUUGUGUGCAAGCACGUUCAACGACGGCUGACCUUUUGAACUGUCCAAGGGCUAUGAUGGCAUGCGACUCCCGAUGUCGUCCGACCGUGUAUGCUAGUCCAAAGGUGAUGAUGGCAUUCCACGCCCAACGUCGUCCGACCGUCUGUGCUUUCCAAGGGCAAUGAUGGCAUGCCACGCCUGAUGACGGCCGACCGUUUGUGCUGUCCAAAGGCGAUGAUGGCGUCCCAUGCCCGACGUUGUCCAACCGUGUGUGUUGUCCAAGGGCUAUGAUGGCAUGCCACGCCCGACGAUGGCCGACAGUCUGUGCUGUCCAAGGGCGUUGAUUGCAUGCCACGCCCAAUACCGUCCGACCGUCUAUGCUGCCCAAAGGCGAUGAUGGCAUGCCACGCCCGACGUCGUUCGACCGUGUGUCCUGUCAUAAGGCGUUGAUGGCAUGCCACGCCCAACGUCGUUCGACCGUGUUUCCCGUCCAACGGAGAUGAUGGCAUGCCAUGCCCUACGUUGUCCUACAGUGUAAGCUAGUCCAAAGGCGAUGAUGGCAUGCCAUGCUGGACAUCGUUCAACUGUGUUUGCCGUCCAAGGGCUAUGAUGGCAAGCCACGCCUGACGUUGUUCGACCGUGUUUGUUUUCCAAGAGCUAUGAUGUCAUGCCACGCCCAAAAUCAUUCGAUCGUGUGUGCUUCCCAAAGGCGAUUAAGGCAUGCCAUGCCCGAUGUCGUUCGACUGUGUGUGCUGUCCAAAGGCGGUGAAAGCAUGCCAUGCCCGACGUCAUUCAAUCGUGUUUGCCGUCCAAGGGCUAUGUUGGCAUGCCACGCCCGACGUUGUUCGACCGUGUGUGCUGUCUAAAGGCGGUGAUGUGAUGUAUGCCUGACGUAGUCCAACCGUUUCUGCUGCCUAAAGGCGAUGAUGACAUGCCACGCCCGACGUCUUCUGACCGUGUGUGCUGUCCUAAGGCGGUGAUGGCAUGCCACGCCCGACGUAGGUCCACUGUGUUUGCCGUCCAAGGGCGAUAAUGGCAUGCCACGCUCGACGCCGUCCGACUGUGUAUGCUAGUCCAAAGGCGAUGAUGGCAUGCCACUCCCGACGUCGUUCGAGCGUGUUUGCCGUCCAAGGGAUAUGAUGGCAUGCAACGCCCGACGUCGUCCGACCAUGUUUGCUGUCCUAAGGCUGGAUGUCAUGCCACACCCGACGUUUUUUGACCGUGUUUGCCGUCCAAGGGCUAUGAUGGAAUGCCACACCCAACGUCCUUCGACCGUGUUUGCCGUCCAAGGGCUAUGAUGGCAUGCCACGCCCGAUGUCGUUCGAUCGUGUUUGCUGUCCAAAGGCGGUUAGAGGAAGCCACGCCCGACGUCGUUAGACCGUGUUUGCUGUCCAAGGGCUAUGAUGGCAUGCCAUGCCUUACGUCAUUCGACCGUGUGUGCUCCCCCAAAAAGAUGAUGGCAUGCCACGACUAACCUCGUUCGACCAUGUGUGCUGUCCAAAGGUGGUGAUGUCAUUCCACGCCCGACUUCGUUCGAUCGUGUAUGCUGCCCAAUGGCAAUGAUGUCAUGCCACGCCCAACGUCGUUCGACCAUGCUUGCCGUCCAAGGACGAUGAUGCCAUGCCACGCCCGACGCUGUUUGAUCGUGUGUGCUGUCCAUAGGCGGUAAUGGCAUGUCAUGCCUGACGUCGUUCGACCGUGUUUGCCAUCUAAGGGCUAUGAUUGCAUGCCACGCCCGACGUCGUUCGACCGUGUGUGCUGUCCAAAGGCGGUGAUGUCAUGUCACGCCCGACGUAGUCUGACCGUGUGUGCUGCCCUAGGGCGGUGAUGUCAUGCCACGCCCAACGUCGUCCGACCAUGUGUGGUGUCCACGGGCGGUAAUGUAAUGUCAUGCCUGACGUCGUCCGACCAUGCGUGCAGUGCAAGGGCGGUGAUCUCAUGCCACGUCCAACGUCGUUCGACCGUGUGUGAUAUCCAAGGGCCGUGAUGGCAUGCCACGCCCGACGUCGUCUGACCGUGUGUGUUGUCAAAGGGCAGUGAUGGCAUGCCACGCCAUAUGUUGUUCGACCGUAUGUGCCGUCAAAAGGGGAUAAUGGCAUGCCAUGCCCGACGUCGUUCGACCGUGUGUGCUGCCCAAAGUCGAUUAAGGCAUGCCAUGCCCGACGUCGUUCGACUAUGUGUGCUGUCCAAAGGCGGUGAUGGCAUGCCACGCCCAACGUCGUUCGACCGUGUUUGCCGUCCAAGGGCUAUGUUGGCAUGACACGCCAGACGUUGUUCGACCGUGUGUGGUGUCCAAAGGCGAUGAUGUGAUGCAUGCCCAAUGUAGUUCGAUCGUGUGUGCUGUCCUAAGGCUGGAUGGCAUGCCACGCCCGACGUUCUUUUACCGUGUUUGCCGUCCAAGGGCUAUGAUGUCAUGCAACACCGGACGUCCUUCGAUCGUGUUUGCCGUCCAAGGGCUAUGAUGGCAUGCCACACCCGAUGUCGUUCGACCGUGUUUGCUAUCCAAAGGCGGUGAGAGGAAGCCACGCCCGACGUCGUUCGACCGUGUUUGCUAUCCAAGGGCUAUGAUGGCAUGCCAUGCCUUACGUCGUUCGACCGUAUGUGCUCCCCUAAAAAGAUGAUGGCAUGCCACGACAAACCUCGUUCGAGCGUGUGUGUUGUCCAAAGGCGGUGAUGUCAUUCCACGCUCGACUUUGUUCGAUCGUGUAUGCUGCCCAAUAGCGAUGAUGUCAUGCCACGUUCGACGUCGUUCAACCAUGUUUACCGUCCAAAGGCGAUGAUGCCAUGCCACGCCCGACGCCGUUCGAUCGUGUGUGCUGUCCAUAGGCGGUAAUGACAUGCCACACCUGACGUCAUUCGACCAUGUUUGCCAUCUAAGGGGCUAUGAUUGCAUGCCACGCCCGACGUCGUUCGACCGUGUGUGCUGUCCAAAGGUGGUGAUGUCAUGUCACGCCCGACGUAGUCUGAUCGUGUGUGCUGCCCUAGGGCGGUGAUGUCAUGCCACGCCCAACGUCGUCCGACCAUGUGUGAUGUCCAAGGGCGGUAAUGUAAUGACAUGCCUGACGUCGUCCGACCAUGCGUGCAGUGCUAGGGCGGUGAUGUCAUGCCACGCCUGACGUCGUUCGACCGUGUGUGAUGUCCAAGGGUCGUGAUGUCAUGCCACGCCUGACGUCGUCUGACCGUGUGUGUUGUCAAAGGGCAGUGAUGGCAUGCCACGCCAUAUAUUGUUCGACCGUGUGUGCCGUCCAAAGGCGAUGAUGGCAUGCCACGCCGGACGUUGUUCGACCGUGUGUGCUGCCCAAAGUCGAUUAAGGCAUGCCAUGGACGACGUCGUUCGACUACGUGUGUUAUCCAAAGGCGGUGAUGGCAUGCCACGCCCAACGUCGUUCGACCGUAAUUGCCGUCCAAGGAUUAUGUUGGCAUGACACGCCAGACGUUGUUCGACCGUCUAUGCUGUCCAAAGGCGAUGAUGUGAUGCAUGCCCAACGUAGUCCAACCGUGUGUGCUGCCAAAGGGCGGUGAUCUCAUUUCACACCCGACGUCGUCCGACCGUGUGUGUUGUCCAAGGGCAGUGAUGUCAUGCCACGCCCGACGUCGUCUCACUGUGCGUGCUGUCCAAGGGCGGUGAUGUCAUGCAACACCCAAAGUCGUCCGACCGUGUGUGCUGUCCAAGGGCUAUGAUGGCAUUCCAUGCCUAACGUCGUUCGACUAUGCGUGCUGUCCAAAAGCGGUUAUGUCAUGCCACGCCCGACUUCAUUCGAUCGUGUAUGCUUCUUAAAGGCGAUUGUGGCAUGUCACGCCCGACGUCGUUCGACAGUGAUUCCCAUCCAAGGGCGAUGAUGGCAUGACACGCCCGACGCCGUCCGACCGUCUGUGCUGCCCAAGGGAGAAGAUGGCAUGUCACGCCUUAUGUCGUCUGACCGUCUGUGCUGCCCAAGCGCAGUGAUUUCAGCCACUCUCGACGUCGUCCGACCGUGUGUGCUGUCUAAUGGAGGUGAUGUCAUGCCACGCCCGACGUUGCUGACCGUGUGUGUUGUUCAAGGGCGAUGAUGGUAUGCCACCCCUGACGUCGUUCGACCGUGUUUGCUAUUCAAGGGCGAUGAUGGCAUGCUAUGCCCGACGCCGUCCGAGUUUGUGAGCUAUUCCCAAGGCGAUGAUGGCAUGCCACACCGACGUCGUUCAACCAUUUUUUUGUCUAAAGGCGGCGAUGUCAUGCCACCCCCGACGUCGUUCGACCGUGCGGACUACCUUAAGGCAAUGAUGGCAUACCACGCCCCACGUGGUUCGACCGUGUUUGCUGUCCAAGGGCGAUGAUGGCAUGCCAUGCCCGACUCCGUCCGAUUGUGUUAGCUAGUCCAAAGGCGAUGAUGGCAUGCCACGCCUGACGUCGUUCGACUGUUUGUGCUGCCCAAAUUCGAUUAUGGCAUGCCACGCCCGACGUCGUCCGACCAUGUGUGCUGUCAUGCCAUGUCCGACGUUGCUGACCGUGUGUGCUGUCAAAGGGCGGUGAUGUCAUGCCAAGCCCGACGUUGACGAUCGUGUGUGCUAUGUAAGGGCGGUGAUGUCAUGCCACGCCCGACGUCGUCCGAUUGUGCGUGCUGUCCAAGGGCGGGAAUGUCAUGCCACACCCAACGUCGUCCGGCCGUGUGUGCUGUGUAAGGGCCGUGAUGGCAUUCAACGCCCGACGUCGUCCGACCGUGAAUGCUGUCCAAGGGCUGUGAUGGCAUGCCACGCCCGACAUCUUUCGACCGUCUGUGCUGCCCAAAGGCGAUGAUGGCAUGCCACGCCCGACGUCGUUCGACCGUGUGUGCUAUCCUAAGGCUGUGAUGGCAUGCCACGCCCGACGUCCUGCGACCGUGUUUGCCGUCCAAGGGCGAUUAUGGCAUGCCAUGCCCGACGUCUUUCGACCGUGUUUGCCGUCUAAGGGCGAUGAUUGCAUGCCACACCCGACGUCGUUCCUACUGUGUCAGCUACUCUAAUGGCGAUGAUGGCAUGCCACGCCCGACGUCGUUCGACCGUGUUUGCCGUCCAAGGGCUAUGAUGGCAUGCUUCGCCCGACGUCAUUCAACCGUGUGUGCCGUCCAAGGGCCAUGAUGGAAUGCCACGCCUUACGUCGUUCGACCGUGUAUGCUGUCCAAAGGCGGUGAUGGCAAGCCACGCCCGAUGUCGUUCGACUGUGUUUGCUGUCCAAGGGCUAUGAUGGCAUGCCAUGCCUGACGUUGUUCGACCGUGCAUGCUGCCCAAAGGUGAUAAUGGCAUGCCAAGCCCGACCUGGUUCGACCGUGUGUGCUGUCCUAAGGCGGUGAUGUCAUGCCACGCCCGACAUCGUUCUAUCAUGUAUGCUGACAAAAGGCGAUGAUGGUAUUCCACACCAGAUGUCGUUCGACCGUGAUUGCCGUCCAAGGGUGAUGAUUGCAUGCCACGCCAAACGCCGUCAGACCGUUUGUGCUGCCCAAGGGCAAAGAUGGCAUGUCACACCCGAUGUCGUCCGACCGUAUGUGCUGUCCAAGCACAGUGAUGUUAGCCAUGCCUGACGUUGUCCGACCGUGUGUGCUAUCUAAUGGCGAUGAUGUCAUGCACGCCGAUGUUGCUGACCCUGUGUGCUAUCCAAGGGAGGUGAUGUCAUGUCACGAUCGACGUUGCCGACCGUGUGUGUUUUCGAAGGGCGAUGAUGGAAUGCCACGCCCGACGUCGUUAAACCGUAUUUGCUAUCCAAGGGCGAUGAUGGCAUGCCACACCCGACGCCGUCCGACUGUGUAGGUUAGUCCCAAGGCGAUGAUGGCAUGCCAUGCCCGACGUCCUUCGACCGUGCGUGCUGCCCAAAGGCGAUGAUGACAUACCACACCUGACGUUGUUCGUCCGUGUUUGCUGUCCAAGGGCGAUGAUGGCAUGCCAUGCUCGACGUCGUUCAACCGUGUUUGCUGUCCAAGGGCUAUGAUGGAAAGCCACGCCUGACAUCGUUCGACCAUGUUUGUUGUCCAAGGGCUAUGAUGUCAUGCCAUGCCCGACAUCGCUCGACUGUGUGUGUUGUCCAAAGGCGGUGAUGGCAUGCCACGCCCGACGUUGUUCGACCGUGUUUGCCGUCCAAGGGCUAUGUUGGCAUGCCACGCCGGACGUUGUUCGACCGUGUGUGCUGUCCAAAGGCGGUGAUGUGAUGCAUACCCAACGUAGUCCAAGCAUGUGUUGCCAAUGGGCGGUGAUGUCAUUCCAUGCCCGACGUCGUCCACCGUGUGUGCUAUCCAAGGGCGGUGAUGUCAUGCCAUUCCUAACGUUUUUAACCCGUGUGUGCUGUCAAAGGGAGGUUAUGUCAUGCCUAGCCCUACGUUGCCAAUCGUGUGUGCUAUCCAAGGGCGGUUAUGUCAUGCCACGCCCGACGUCGUCCGAUUGUGCGUGUUGUUCAAGGGUAGUGAUGUCAUGCCACGCCCAACGUCGUUCGACCGUGUGUGCUGUCUAAGGGCGGUGAUGUCAUGCAACGACCGAUGUUGUUCGACCGUGCGUGCAGUCCAAGGGCGGUGAUAUAAUGCCACACUCGACGUCAUCUGACCGUGUGUGCUGUCCAAGGGCUGUGAUGGCAUGCCACGCCUAACGUCGUUCGACCGUCUGUGCUGUCUAGGGGCGGUGAUGACAUGCCACGCCCAACAUCGUUCGAUUGUCUUUGCUGCCCAAAGGCGAUGAUGGCAUGCCACGCUCGACGUCGUCUGACCGUGUGUGCUGGCCUAAGGCGGUGAUGGCAUGCCACGGCCGAUGUCGUUUUACAGUGUUUGUCAUGCAAGGGAGAUAAUGGCAUUCCACGCCCGAUGCCAACCAACUAUGUCAGCUAGUCCAAAGGCAAUUAUGGCAUGCCACGCCUGACAUCGUUCGACCGUGUUUGCCGUCCAAAGGAUAUGAUGGCAUGCCACGCCCGACAUCGUUCGACCGUGUGUGCUGUCCAAACGCGGUAAUGGCAUGCCACGCCUGACGUCAUCCGACCAUGUUUGCCAUCCAAGGGCUAUGAUUGCAUGCAACGCCCGACGUCGUUUGAUCAUGUGUGCUGUCCAAAGGCGGUGAUGUCAUGUCACGCCCGACGUAGUCUGACCGUGUAUGCUGCCCAAUGGCGGUAAUGUCAUGCCACGCCCGACUUAGUUCGACCGUUGUGUGGUGUCCAAGGGAGGUGAUGUCAUGCCACCCCUGACGUCGUCCGUCCGUGCGUGUAGUCAAAGGGUGGUGAUGUCAUGCCACGCCCGACGUCGUCUGACCGUGUGUGCUGUCCAAGGCCGUGAUGGCAUGCCACGCCCGAUGUCGUUCGACCGUGUGUGUAGCCCAAAGGCGAUAAUGGCAUGCCACGCCUGACGUCGUCCGACCGUGUGUACUGUCCUAAGGCGGUAAUGAUAUGCCACGCUGGACGUCGUUCGACCGUGUUUGCUAUCCAAGGGAGAUGAUGGCAUGCCACGCCCGACGCGGUCCGACUAUGUCAACUAGUCCAAAAGUGAUGAUGGCAUGCCAUGCUCGACGUCGUUCGACCGUGUUUGCCGUGCAAGGGCUAUAGUGGCAAUCCACGCCCGACUGCAUUCGACCGUGUGUUUGUUGUACAAUGACUAUGAUGGCAUGCCACACCCGACAUCGUUCGACCGUGUGUGUUCUUCCCAAAGGCGAUUAAGGCAUGCCAUGCCCGACGUUAUUCGAUUUUGUGUGCUUUCCAAAGGCGGUGAUGGCAUGCCACGCCCGACGUCCUUAAACCGUGUUUUCCGUCAAAGGGCUAUGACGGCAUGCCACGCCUGACGUUGUUCGACCGUGUGUGCUUCACAAGGGCGGUGAUGUGUUGCAUGCCCGAGGUAGUCCAACGUGUGUGCUUCCAAAGGGCGGUGAUGGCAUGCCACGCCUGACGUCGUUCGACCGUGUGUGCUGUCCAAAGACGGUGAUGGCAUGUCACAGCCGACUUUGUUCGACUAUGUGUGCUUUCCAAAGACGGUGAUGGCAUGUCACUCCUUACGUCAUUCGACCGUGCGUGCUGUCCAAGGGUGGUGAUGUCAUACCACGUCCGACCGUGCGUGCUAUCCAACAGCGGUGAUGUCAUGCCAUGCCCGAUGUCGUCCGACCGUGUAUGCUGUCCAAGGGCCAUGAUGGCAUGCCACGCCAGACGUCAUCCGUUCGUGAGUGUUGUCCAAGGAAAGUGACGCCAUGCCAAGCCCGACGUCGUUCGAUUGACUUUGCUACCAAAAGGCGAUGAUGGCAUGCCAUGCCCGAUGUCGUUCGACCGUGUUUUUUCGUCCAAGGACUAUGAUGGCAUGCGACGCCCAAUGUCGUUCGAUCUUGUGUGCUGUCCAAGAGCCAUGAUGGCAUGCCACACGUGACGUCGUUUGACAGUGUUGUGCUUUCCAAUGGCGGUGAUGGCAAGCCACGCCUGACGUCGUUCGACCAUGUUUCCUGUCAAAGGGCUAUGAAGGCAUGCCCGUCGUGACGUCGUUCGACGAUGAUGGCAUGCCACGCCCAAUGUCGUUCGACCGUGGGUGCUGUCCAAAGGCAAUGAUGUCAUGCCAUGCCCGACGUGGUUCGAUCGUGUGUGCUUCUAAAAGGAGAUGAUGGCAUGCCACCCCCGACAUCAUUCGACCGUGUUUGCCGUCCAAGGGCGAUGAUGGCAUGCCACGCCCGACGCCGUUCGACCGUCUGUGCUGCCCAAGGGCGAAGAUGGCAUGUCACGCCCGAUGUAGUCCGACCGUCAGUGAUGUCCAAGCGCGGUGAUGUCAGCCACGCACGACGCUGUUCGACCAUGUGUGUUGUCCAAUGACGAUGAUGUCAUGCCACACCCGACGUUGCCAACCGUGUGUGCUUUCCAAGGGAGGUGAUGUCAUGCCACGACUGACGUUGCCGACCGUGUGUGAUGUCCAAGGGCGAUGAUGGCAUGCCACGCCAGACAUCAUUCGACCGUGUGUGCUGCCCAAAAGCGAUUAAGGCAUGCCAUGCCCGACGACUUUCGACGGUGUGUACUAUCCAAAGGCGGUGAUGGCAUGUCAUGCCUGACGUCGUUUGACCGUGUUUGCCAUCCAAGGGCAAUGAUUGGCAUGCCACGCCGACGUCGUUUGAUUGUGUGUGUUGUCCAAAGGCGGUGAUGUCAUGCCACUCCCGACAUCGUUUGACUGUGAUUGCCGUCCAAGGGCUAUGAUGGAAUGCCACGCCCGACGUCGUUUAACCGUGUGUGUUGCCCAAAGGCGAUCAUGAAAUGUCACGCCCUGCGUCGUUCAACCGUGUGUGUUGUCAAAAGGUGGUGAUGUCAUGACAUACCUGAUGUCGUUCGACUGAGUGUGCUGCGUAAAGGCGAUAAUGGCAUGCCACGCCUGACGUCGUUCGACCGUGUUUGGCUUCCAAGGGCGAUGAUGGCUUGCCACGCCCGACUCCGUCUGACUGUGUGAGCUAGUCCAAAGAAGAUACUGGGAUGCAACCCCCGACGUCGUUAGACUGUUUGUGCUUCCCAAAGGCGAUGAUGGCAUGCCACGCCUGACGUUGUUCGACCGUGUGUGCUACCCAAAGGCAAUGAUGGCAUGCCACGCCCAACAUUGGUUGACAGUGUGUGCUGUCCAAAGAUGGUGAUGGAAUGUCACGCCUUGAUGUCAUUCAACAGUGUGUGUUGUCCAAAGGCGGUGAUGUCAUGCCACGCCUGACGUCGUUCGACCCUGUGUGCUACCCAACGGCGAUGAUGGAAUGCCAUGCCCAACGUCGUUCGACCGUGUCUGCUGUCCAAAGGCGGUGAUGUCAUGCCACGCCCGACGUAGUCCGACCAUGUGUGCUGCCCAAGGGCUAUGAUGGCAUGCCACGCCCGACAUCGUCCGACCGUCUGUGCUGCCCAAAGGCGAUGAUCGCAUGCCAUGCCCGAUGUCGUCCGACCGUGUGUGCUGUCCAAAGGCGGUGAAGGCAUGCCACGCUUGACGUUGUUCGCCGGCCAAGGGAGAUGAUGGCAUGCCACGCGCGACGUUAGUCGAUCGUGUGUGCUGUCCAAAGGAGGUGAUGUCAUGCCACGCCCGACGUUGCCGACCGUGUGUGCUGUACAAGGGCGGUGAUGUCAUUUCACGCUCGACAUCGUUCGACUGUGCGUGCUGCCCAAGGGCGAUGAUGUCAUGCCACGCCCAACGUCAUUCGACUGUGCGUUGUGUCCAAGGGCGGUGAUGUCAUGCCACGCCUGACUUCGUCCGACUGUGCGUGCAGUCCAAGGCGGUGAUAUCAUUGCCACGUUCGACGUCGUCCCACCGUUUGUGCUAUCCAAGGGCUGUGAUGGCAUGCCACGCCCGACGUUGUCUGACCAUUGUGUGCUGUCCAAGGGCGAUGAUGGCAUUCCACGCCCGACGCCGUCUGACUGUUUUAGCUACUACAAAGGCGUUGAUGGAAUGCCACACCCGACGUCGUUCGACUGUGUUUGCCGUUUCAAGGGUAAUGAUGGCAUGCCACGCCUGACGUCGUUUUGACCGUGUGUGCUGUCCAAGGGCCAUGAUGUAAUGACAUGCUCGACGCCGUUUGAAUGUGUGUGCUGUCCAAAGGCGGUGCUGGCAAGCCACGCCCGACAUCGUUUGACUGUGUUUGCUGUCAUAGGGCUAUGAUGGCAUGCCAUGCCUGACGUCGUUCGACCGUUGUGUGUUUCUCAAUGAAGAUAAUGGCAUGCCACACCUAACCUUGUUUGGCCGUAUUUGCUGUCCAAAGGCGGUGAUGUCAUGCAAAUCCCAACGUCGUUCGACUAUGUGUGUUGCUCAAUGAAGAUAAUGGCAUGCCACACCUACCUCGUUCGACCGUAUUUGCUGUCCAAAGGCGGUGAUGUCAUGCCAGUCCAAACGUCGUUCGAUCGUGAAUGCUGCCUAAAGGCAAUGAUGGCAUGCCACGCCCGAUGUCGUUGGACCGUGAUUUCCGUCCAAGGGCGAUGAUGGUAUGCCACGCCAGACGCCGUCCGACCGUCUGUGCUACCCAAGGGAGAAGGAUGGCAUGUCAUGCCCGAUGUCGUCCGACUGUCUGUGCUUUCCAAGCGCGGUAAUAUCAGCCACGCUCGACGUCGUCCGACCGUGUGUUGCUGUCUAAUGGUGGUGAUGUCAUGCCACGCCCAACGUUGCGACCGUGUGUGCUGUCCAAGGGAGGUGAUGUCAUGCCACGACCGAUGUUGCCGACCGUCUGUUUUCCAAGGGCGAUAAUGGCAUACCACGCGCGACGUCGUUUGAUCGUGUUUGCCAUCCAAUAGCGAUGAUGACAUGCCAUGCCCGAAGCCGUCCGAUUGUGUUGAGAUAGUCCAAAUGCGAUGAUGGCAUGCCACGCCCGACGUCGUUUGACUGUUUGUGCUGCCCAAAGGCGAUGAUGGCAUGCCACGCUCGACGUCGUCCAACCGUGUGUGCGGUCCAAGGGGCGGUGAUGUCGCGCCAUGCCCGACGUUGCUGACCGUGUGUGCUUUCAAAGACGGUGAUGGCAUGUCACUCCUUACGUCGUUCGACCGUGCGUGCUGUCCAAGGGUGGUGAUGUCAUGCCACGCCCGACGUCGUCCGACCGUGCUAGCUAUCCAACAGUGGUGAUGUCAUGCCACGCCCGAUGUCGUCCGACCGUGUGUGCUGUCCAAGGGCCGUGAUGGCAUGCCACGCCGACGUCAUCCGUUCGUGAGUGUUGUCCAAGGGAAGUGAUUCCAUGCCAAGCCCGACGUCGUUCGACUGACUUUGCUACCAAAAGGCGAUGAUGGCAUGCCAUGCCCGACAUCGUUCGAUCGUGUUUUUUGUUUAAGGACUAUGAUGGCAUGCCACGCCCAACGUCGUUCGAACCUUGUGUGCUGUCCAAGAGCCAUGAUGGCAUGCCACGCGUGAUGUCGUUUUACUGUGUGUGCUUUCCAAUGGCGGUGAUGGAAAGCCACGCCUGACGUCGUUCGACCAUGUUUGUUGUCCAAGGGCUAUGAAGGCAUGCCCGUCUUGACGUCGUUCGACGAUGAUGGCAUGCCAUGCCCAACGUCGUUUGACAGUGGGUGCUGUCCAAAAGGCAAUGAUGUCAUGCAAUGCCCGACGUCGUUCGAUCAUGUGUGCUUCUCAAAGGCGAUGAUGGCAUGCCACGCCCGUCGCCGUCCGACCGUCUGUGCUGCCCAAGGGCGAAGAUGGCAUGUCACACCCGAUGUAGUCCGACCGUCUGUGAUGUCCAAGCACGGUGAUGUCAGCCACGCACGACGCCGUCCGACCGUGGGUGUUGUCCAAUGACGAUGAUGUCAUGCCACGCCCGACGUUGCCAACCGUGUGUGCUUUCCAAGGGAGGUGAUGUCAUGCCACGACUGACGUUGCCGACCGUGUGUGAUGUCCAAGGGCGAUGAUGGCAUGCCACGCCAGACAUCUUUCGACCGUGUGUGCUACCCAAAAGCGAUUAAGGCAUGCCAUGCCCGACGACGUUCGACGGUGUGUGUACUAUCCAAAGGGCGGUGAUGGCAUGUCAUGUCUGACGUCAUUUGACCGUGUUUGCCAUCCAAGGGCUAUGAUUGCAUGACACACCCGACGUCGUUNNNNNNNNNNNNNNNNNNNNNNNNNNNNNNNNNNNNNNNNNNNNNNNNNNNNNNNNNNNNNNNNNNNNNNNNNNNNNNNNNNNNNNNNNNNNNNNNNNNNUCCACAUCCGUGAAGCACUUCACUCGCUCAAGAAGACACAUAAAAUUACUAGCUUUUCGGUGUUGAAGGAAAGAGGCUUUAAACCUUCAUCGACGCCAACACACGGCAGGGGAGCAGCAUGGAAAGCGAGGCUCCACACCCUUCUCCGUGGGCAUUAGGAAUCGAAACCGGACCAAGCUCGCACACAAGCCUGCUACCAAGCAGGAGCAAAAGGAAUAUGUUGAAUUAGGGGACAGGAAACCAUCAUAAGCCAGCCAAACAAGCAAAAUGAGGUUCUCAUUCACGGAUAACUAAGCUUUGACAAGGGAGAGGGGGACCCUUCUCAUACCCGCCCUUACAGGAGCCUAACGGAGAAAAGUCUAUGCCCAAUAGGAGCUAACUUAAGCUUGGGUCGAUAAUAGUCGUUCUGGUCCUAGCUGGUUCCAUGAUCUAGGAAGUCAAUCUAAAUCUCUCUUUUGGUCAAAAGCGGUAUAGGCUGUGAAUCGAAUCUGUCUGUCCUCUAACCGAAUUAGCGCAUCUUCCUUUCUCUUUGUUGAAUAGUGGAGCUCCACUCCAGUGAAGCAAGACUGAAUCCGGAGAGUUCGAUCCAUGUACUCUGUUCUGUACACUACAGAUUUGACUACUUGCAAACCUCUAACCAAGGCUUGCUUCCUAGGAUCUAGUCCAGAUAAUCUAUCUAUGAUCUUUCCCCUCAAGCUAGUUAGGGAACUACCUUCGCUCCGCACCUUAUCCUUCGAUCCAAGCCACGAGGCAAAAGGCAAGCUGACUUAGAGGCUGCGGUCAUUCUUGAUUGAUGUAGCUUCGUCGUCUGUUUUGGUACGAAUGAGACACAGAACAGUAGCAGCCAAGGCUUCUGAUCUAUAGGGCUCAGAAAAAGACCAAGAUGAUUGCCACAGAAUCGAGAAGUAGCAGACAUGACCGCUUCUACCACUUCACUAUAAGUACUCAAACAGUACUUGCCGCCGGAACUGUCACUCUUUAUUGCCACUAGUUUCUAACUACUAUGUCAUUAGCUCGAAGUGCAGUGAUCCCAAACGGGAAUCUAACGAUUUCAUUCACUUCACCAACAAAAGGCGAGGUAGCUUGGCGUCAGUAAAGACAAAACAAGACCCGAGGGUUUCUUUUACUAAUAUAGAGCAUACCAAUCUCAGAAACUAAACUGGUCAAUGCGCGCUUGAUACGCGAACACUAAAGAGAGAACCGGGGCAAAUUUGCUUCGGUUAGGAUUCGCCUUUGGGAAUAGAAUGAAUCGAAUUGGCUGAAGCCGUCAACAUACGCUUUCGGGAAGUUUAACCACGCGAUAUCUCAGUGAACGUAUUGGAACCCGGUAGGAGAGCCAGACAGAUUUCGUUUCUAAGAGGUGACCCGAAUAAAUGGGCUCAACAGCAAUCAUUGACUCGUUAAGUGAAGUUAAAAAGAAGCUGAACCAAGACUCAAUGGUUCGCCUAUCGGCUAAGAAAUUGGAAAUGACGAAGGAUUACCGCUGGAUGGGACUCAACACUCCCCUUCUAUACUAUCUCAUAUCUCACCUCAGCGCUAAUAGAAGCUUCAAGCCCGAGUUAUAGGAGCAACCAUCGGAAGAAGGGAAGGAAAAGUCAAGCCAAACAGGAAGCGAACUCAAAACGGGUCCGUCUGUCAUGACUUCCAAAAAGAAUAAAGGCUAGCUUCAAGAGAACAGCAACCAUCCAUUGCGAGAGAGAUCCCAAUUCCGGAUAUGCUGUUUUAUGUCACUCGAUGACUUGAUUGGGACAUUCUUGUUUUAAUACGCGAAGAUGGUGAUGAAUCGUUCUCAUAUAUUGCCAUAAUCUUUUCGAUUGUUCUCUGGUUACGCUAGAUUUUGAUAAAAGAAAAUGGGCCCAGCGAUACAAGAGCAUUUUCCAAGCAUAAAAUCACGAAGCCGGCCCAAAAAGUGGGUGAGACUCGUCAUUCUCCGCUUGCAAGUCAAGCUUUUCAAGAGAAUCUUUCAGGAUGUUCUGAUGAUCCUAAUCAGAGCCAACAAGCAGGUCGAGCUGACAUAGGCGGGAAUUUGAACCCUUUUGGACUGGAGGGCCGGGUCAGAAGGACCGAGAUUGAUCUCAGAUUGGGGUCAGUAGAGUUUCAUUUAUCGAAUUUGCGGUCCAACCUUGCUAAAUAAUGAAGAUGAAUGGUGCUAUAUCCGCCUGGAGUCUACCAUAAGAUUUAUACCGGAAAGUGUUAGAUAGAAAUGUCUGCCUAUUAAAUCAAUACCGGGAUCUAACGAGGAAACUAUAGCCCUCUCGAAGGAAUCUUUCAGGGUGAAAAGCAAGAUGUUUGACCUGCCGGGCGUAGCCUUGGUCACUUCUUUUUAGAAAAGCGGAAUCAGAAGCUGACCACAGGAGUCGAUAUUCUGAAGCUGGCAAGCAGGAUCCAACCUCAGAAAUGGGGUUUCGCUUGACGGGGAUCACUCUAAAGAAAGGAAGUCGUUUUGGCUGUUGUUAUUCCAAAUCACUUUCUUUAUAAAUGUCAUAAAAGACAGGGGCUUUCUUGCUUCAGCAUGUGAGGGAAAUGCCCCGGGUACCGAAGUUAGCGGCUUUAGAGAUAGGGGCGAGGGCGGCGGGACAUAGACUCUGAGUCCUAAAUCUAAGUUCCUGUUCCCAGUGCGAAUGCAUUAUGCCCGGUUUAAUCAGUUACACCAGCUAACAUAACAACACUCAACACUCCGAGUGGCAUAGGCGCGGGAAGACCAGUUAAGGUCUCGUAAGAUAGAGUGACCCACGCACAGCGGCUUCAGGUUCUAAACCAUUGCAAGCAACCUUCAAAACCCCUUUGAGCCGUGACAAGGAGUGGCGAAACGCACUCGAUAGCUGCACCCGUUCCGGAUCUUCGUCCUGCCAAUCCUCCCGUCAAGGUGAGAGCUCUCUUCCCAUGGCAAGCGCUACCUCACCCCUUGCUUCGCAACCGUCGUCUUUUAGCUGAUUGAUGAGUGUCAAAGAUAGACGUGUCACGCCGCAUGAAGAAAGCUGUCAAGCAUUGAAUGAAGGGAGGGAGGCUCGGGCGAGGUUGUCGGAGCACGUCCGCCGUUGUCUUUUCUGUCGAGGUUGCUUGCAAGGAGUCGACACUCUGAGAUGUCAAUAGAGAGAGCAGAAAGGCGAGUCGUGAGUGUUCGAGUCUGUAAUCUUGUCAAAGAGGGUUUGACCUCAACUAGGCUACGGGUUGUUAUUCUGGUAGACAUCACCCGAACGCCGCGUCCUAGACUGAUGACACUUGCUCAAUCUCUAAAGCGAAUUCGGAAACUUUGGAAGAACCAAUCUCGAGAGGAGAUGCUUCAUACAGGUGUGGAAGGGCUUCACAUCGAACGAGUUAAAUAAGACUUCAAAAUAGACGUGACUAAUGCAAUAAGUAGACUUGAAUUAGCUCUUUUAGCUAUAGAAGUUCUUGGUGGAAUCUCCUUUGUUGGUAAACUAUCUGUAGAAGAUGUUGAUGCAAUAUGCGGUGCAUGUGUUCUCGAAAGCACUCCCGGGAGAGAGUGGUUUUUUUCUGGACUUUAGGUCAUCUUGUGACCUCUACUUUGAUUUAUGCGAUUGUUGCCGCAUGUAAGGCGUAAAGAAGGCAAGGAGUUCUUUCCUAAAGGAGUCUUUAACGCUUCUCCAACCCUCCGAAGACACGAUCAAUAGGGCGCUAAUCUAAUGCAGUGAAGGAGGCUUACAACAAUGAUAUCCUGCCUUAGCUGCUUUAUCCUUCCCUCAACCUCCCCAGAAAGAGUCCAUUCAUUGUUGUCUUGGGGAACCAGAAAUGGAAUCGGUUCAAGAACCAACCACUGAAAUUUCCACCUAUUGAGAUUUCUCGUAUUUUUAGAGCUUUACUGAAGCUAUUGGAAGUGACUCUACUCCAAAGUUGUCUGGGCUGGGUCCCUCAACCCAAUAGUUCGCUAGGGCGGUGCUCAGAUCAACACAAAUAAAAGAAGAAAAAAGCCCUAUGCCCCCUGAUCAUGCCUCGAAGAAGGCAAUUCACGAGGAAAGUGGAUAUCUCCUUUCAGUCGAGCUGGAAUGGGUUCCUUCCUAUCGCUUUUCUCUACCCAGGAUUGCUACCUUUUUCCGGGAAUUCUCAAAAUAGAUGUUUCAAAAUAGACUUCUAUGAGUGAAAGGCAGGUUUAAACUAAAAAGACGGGGAAUUAGCCAACUUGCACGAUUGAACUCUCUUCUUUUUAGAACUCGAGAGAAAUUUGACUUUCCUACUAGAAGUGAUGCCAUGCUGUUCUAAACCUUACUUACGUCAUCCAGUAAGCGGGGGCCCAUUUCAGACCAAUCUAGGUUAAGCUCUGGGGAAAGGAUUGCCUCCUUAUCUUCUAAAGAAUAGGAAGAAUCUUAAUAUGCUAUCAACUUUUCUAUUCUACCCUCUCAUGGUUAUAGAAGAUUUUUUCUAUUUGCUUCAAAAAUGGCAAUGAAAGAGGGUGAUAACAGAAAGUGCACACCGCUAUCUCAUGAUAGAAUACGGCCCCUUUGGCUUGCCAGAUCGAACUGGCUGUAAAUUCAGGAAGAGGCACCUUUCGGGACAAGGGUAAACUCGAAGCAAGAAAAGUGCAGAUAGCAGUCAACAAAGGUUUAGUGCUUCUCUUACACUUCACCUUCCCCCUAAAGGGUAGUUUUCAUUCGAAAUAGUGCUAUUCAAUUGGUCAAUCCUUAGAACUCUGAAUGGAGGUAGAAAGAAUAGGUUGGAACUAUUGAAAGAUGAUAGGCUUAUUCUGAAAGUACGCAUUUCUUGCUCUAAGUCCGCUGGGUUGGAUCGAACUAGUUGGUUUGGCAGGAAGAUAAUGGCAUAAAAGAAGCAUUCCACUUUUGGAAAGAGAAGAGUCAGUCUGCUUCGCACCUCUGUCUUGCAUUGGGUUAACUGGAGCUUAGAUAAAGCGAUAGGCAGAAGAGAGAGAAUUAGUCUGUCUUUAUAGACUGACUUUCCUCGCAUCAAAGCUUUCCGAUUCUCUUCCUUUAUGAAGAAAGGAAAGGCUUGUUAUCGACGAAGAAGAUCUUUAUACUGUUCAUCCUAAGAAAAGAAGUUUUCACUCGGUACAACUAUUCUAUGCUAGCAUAGCAUGCUUCUACUUAUGUUGUGUUGCAAAUUCCGGAUCAGGAACAAUCCUUUCUUAUUCUAAGAUGCCCGUCUAAAAAUCCGUACUUGUUGACUAAAAGGCUUUCGGCUUUCUAGCAAGCUUAAGGGCUAAGGGAAAUUCAUCCUUGGAUCAAUGAAAUAGUUGAAUUAGCUAAGAUGCAAGAAGCAACCUCUUAUUGAAAUGACUUUAGGAAGUGCCUAACCUUUCUCCUUCGAUCCGAUCCUUUCUGUGACCCGAAAUGAACUUAUUCUCUCUUCGUCUCUUGCCUUUGAAUCGGAUAUUCCGAUGAAAGCGGAUUCUCUUUCCGUCCCUCGUCAUCGAGAGGAAGAAUCGCUAUCUAUCUAUCUAUCCAUAUACGUAUCAACAAAUGUGGUUCCAGGGAUCGGUCGAUUGCCCCUCACCAGCAGCUAGAGGAGGAGAAAGGAAUGAUGUCCCGGCCUGGGCUGGGCACCUAUCAGCCAACUAUUCCUUUUUGGAAUGGAAAGAAGAAAGGAUGGUCUACGAUCACUGAUGUCGAAUUCACGAAAAAGAUCAUAUGUGAAAGAAUCGUCAGAUUAUGGGUUCCCGGAGUAGACGGAAUGGAGAAUGAAUGAAAUAGAAUAGUCUGGCAGAAUCGUAUGAUAGGGAAAGUGCUCCGCCUCCCACUUGUCUGGGUUACCUCAGAGAUAGAGCCAUUAGGCGAGAAAAAACAACCUAGUUAGUGCACUAACUCAAACCUAGUUCUUGCACGAAAUGUCCUGCUAACAUAGGAGCACUCUUACUAAGAAAUGGAAGAGCAAAUUUCUUUCUGUUCGACGACACAAUGCCUCACCUGCCCUCUGCUACACAUCUCUUUCGUUCGCCCUAGACCCACCCCCCAAAUGGAACUCUGCCCUUUUUGUUGGGUUAGAGCGAGUAUGAAGUCAGGGAGGAAGAAGAAGAGAGGGAAGAAAUAAUAUAGUAAUAUUUACCUUUCCCAGCUCUCAGAAAUGGAGAAGGAAUCAAAAAUCUAGUGAACCCCUCAAACUCCGUAGGUAAUUCGAGACAAUUCAAGAAGAAUAAGAUAAGCUAACACAAAAAAGUCGAUUUGAUUGACAAUAUUUCUCUGUAAAUCUAUUCGGAUGAUAUGCUAAUUUAUGCAGCCGAGUCACGAGGGCUUCUUCUUCUACUCCCUUCCCGGAAGAUAGAGGGAACUUAGCCUCUGACAAAGUAGUAGCUGACAUAGGAAUAGCUGGCAAAGGAAGAGCUUCCGCUAAGAUUCUUACUUAUUUGGAAACUAGAUUUGCUGCCCCUGCAGACUCUUCUUUUGAAGAAUCUGAUUCGCUAACAUUGGUAUACUGAAUUUGCGGCAUGGCAUAGAAUAAAACAUGAAUGGGUCUUCCUUGCCAACCUUCGCUUCUAGAAGGAAGUAAGUAGAAGCUGACCCUCCAACAUACAUUGCAGGGAAGGACCCCUCCAGUGGCAUACUUUAUGGAGAAAGGCUUCCAUCAGCAGGCAGGUAUUUACUUUUCUGAUACCUUCACGUCUUGUUGUCAAACCAACUACUCUAAGUAUUCUAAAAUAUCUCGCUUGCACAUAUAAUUGGGUUCUUAAGCAACUGGAGGUCUGUAAUGCCUUUUUACACGGAACUCUUGAGGAGGAAGUCUAUAUGUCUCAACCUCCUGGUUUUCUGGAUACCGCUCAUCCAGGAUAUGUCUGCCGACUUCACAAAGCUCUUUAUGGACUGAAGCAAGCUCCCAGAGCUUUUUUCACUUGUUUCAGCACUAUAUUGUGCUCUAAAGGGGUUCCGUGGCAGUGCCUGUGAUACCUCUUUAUUCAUUCGUCACACAUCUGGGGAUAGUAUCUACCUUCUUUUAUAUGUCGAUGACAUUUUUCUCACAGGUAGUGAUCAACAGGGAAUACUUGCUCUUCUUUCGUUCUUGCAUGCUCAUUAAAAUAUGAAAGACUUGGGCCUUCUCCACUACUUUCUUGGUAUGGAAGUGUAUCGGCAGGGGCGCACUCUUAUCCUUCGUCAGCAGAAAUAUGCCUAGAUCUCUUGCCUCGUGCAGACAUGCUUGAUUCUCGUCCUUUGGCCACUCCUCUUACUAGUGGUACCGAGCUUCCCAAGUUGGAUGUCACUUCCCUCUCUGAUCCCACCAAUUUCAUUCUUCUAUUGAGUCGGCUAACUGUAACUAUAAGCUACACGCCUCGAACUCGUAUAAAGAUUCUUCCUCUAGGGCCUCCUUUCACCUUUUGUUAGCGACCCUUAAACGGGUUCCAGCAGUGCUUCAAGCCUGACUUUUUUUUUCGUUUAGUCUGACUAUUUUCCGAAUUUUAUAUAUGAAUGAAAGCUACGUUUCGGCAAAUUAUAUAAACUUACUAAGGAAGAAAGAGCAAAACUUUUCACAGCCGAGGUCAGAGCUUCAAGUCAGUAAUGUCUCUUUAGCACCCCAUACCCUACUACAAUUCUUAUUCAAUAUAAUAAUAUUACUACAAUGUCGUGCCGAUGUCUCCCUUACGAAAAUGAAGAUAAGUCUUUUGAUUAGGGGGGUGACAACCGAGGCUUUUAAGAGAAGUUGCCAUAGAGGCUAUAAAGAGCUAUUUCAUAUCUAAUAGGAAAAAAUUCUUAUGUCUACUGUGGGAAAUGGGGUCCCAGGAUUACCUCUGCAUGCUCCAUCAGUAUUGCACUUCAUUCCUCAGUGGUGGAACCAACCAAGAUGUAUGUCGUCCGACCCGACCUCAGACUCUUUCUUCCCCACCUACACAAGUGGUUUUUUAACCCAAAUUAGGAAAAGUUCUGUUAGGUUCUUAGUAGCAAUCGGCGACCUUUUCUUCUUUUACUUCACAUAGCUUUUCGUCUCCUUGAUCAAUUCCCUUUUUUUAGGCAGUUUCGUAUUCUAAUGAUCCCGUCUUACCUGAUGAUUAGGAUUUGCUUUCCCUAUUUGAAAAAAGGAGAUCUGUGUCACUCUCACUAUGCUUCACACAUGAAAUUCUACAGCUUUCAAGGGCUCGAAUAGAUUGAUUUGAGAACUUGUUUCAGGGUUGCCCCGUGGGAGAACUUUCAUAAUCUCUUUCGCUCUCGGAUCUAAUUCUCUGCUUAGUGACUCGAUCUCUCUUUCUUUUGAAGCUCGUGCAAAGCGCUAACUAUCUGAAGGCCUCGCACCGGCGCUAGUUGAACCUUCUUCGGUCUCUUUCAGCGGCGGGCUUACCUUUUUUAUUAGUAUUGAAUUCAUGUCAUUGUCGCUCAUCAUCCUUGUUAGAAAAGGAACAAGAAACUCUCUUUAUGGGAGGGGAAGGUCAUAUUAAAAAAAAAUUUACCAGAAUUCCUCCACUACGGAUGGACUGAUCUAAAGAGCGGAGACUUGAUUCGAUAUUUACAGUUGCUAUAGGUUAGGGCUUCUAUCGUGCUAUUCUAUUUCUAUAGAGAGGUAGGCGACAAAGACAAGGGAUCUCUCUCGCUAUGGAUAGUUGCUGUUUGCGAGAAGCGUCUGUUCCGCUUUAUCCUUUCAAUAAUUAUAUUGAAUAAAGACAAAUUGAUCCACUGGUAUUUCGACGCUCGAUCUCUACUCCUCGAAAGCUCACUCACAAUCUAUGGCUCACUUAGGGCUAGAAAGAUAGGAUUCUUCAUACAAAGCCAACCGGGAACCUUCUUUCCAAACUCGCUCGACACACAAAAGAAAAGACGAAAGACGAGAAUCGGCGCAAGGAUCAAAACACUUAAUAGACAUAGAAGAGUAAAAGAAAUGCUUCCUAGCCUACCGAAAACUCGGUUGAAGCUAGUUAGGUCCUCCGGUCAGUCAAGUGUUGACACCGGAUUUGGUUUGACCUUCCUUCUCAAUGUCCGGAUGAACAUGCAUUCUUUUCUCUACAGUAUGGUAGAGUAUGGUAGACUUAUAACCAAUCCAAUCGGAAACCUUAAUUCGAGAGAUCAAACUAGCAAGGAUAAUAUCGUAAAGUCGGAGAGGAAGAAGAAUGCCAUCAUAGAGGGAUCAGCGUGUAAACUUGAAGGGCUAGGGAACUCCUUUAGCUCAAUAAUGAAAGUUAGGGUCGAUCGGAGGAGGCCUUACCUCUUAGAUGACCCAAGCAAGUCAUUAAGCUAUUGGAUGGAUCCUCCUAACUGUAGUUACUUAAGGUCGAGUAGUAGACGGGUGAGGCCCACAGUUCUAAUAGGUUUUCACUUGAGCUUUCCGCGGCAAAGCAAGUCUACAAGCCACUGCAGUGAGGUUAUAGGUCUGAUUUCUUUCUCGUAUUGAGAUCUUAGAAUGCUAUACGCAGCCCCCCUGCAAGGUUACUUUAGAUAGCGGUAUUUUCUGUAUAAGAUUGGCAUCCCCAUUCUAAGGUUACUUAGUACUUAGGUCGUGAGUUCCGAUCUUAGUAGCCUUUAUUCCCAUCCCGCGUAAGAACAUAGGUUUUUUCCCUCCGUUUCUGCUCUCCUUGCUUUAACUAAAGAACUACUUUUCACUUUAAGUAGGACUCUAAGAGCUCUACCUUAGAAUGAGUUAGAUUUCCUGUGUUAACAAGAAGGAAUGGCGGGACGCUAAAGAGAUGGCUAUGAGACUAGUGCAAUCAGGUAAUCGACCAAGUAAUCCACAUACAUGAUAAAAGAGCAUUCCAGCCCUAGUGUACUUAUCCACUGGCAUUGAAGGAGAAGAAUGACAAGGUCUGCUUCCACAGUAAGGAUUGCCGCUUAGUCCAAUCCAAGAGCAAACAAGGGACGCCUCAUUAAGCAAGAACCCGAGCUAAGAGCGGGGCAGUUCAAUUAAGGUAUAGAGAAAGCUCCAAGCAGCUACCAUUGAUCAACCUUAUUCAGGCACAUCAAUCAAAGAUCUUGCUUACCGGAUAACUUUCCUGGUGAAGGAGAGAAAGUUUGACAAGCUAAGAAAGUCUCGUUGAAAGCAGGAACUCAGACUGUGACGACUAUUUUCACUAGUUUCAAAGGCUUGAUUGACCCUUGGGAUUGAAUCUGGCCAGGGGGGGCCCUCGUAAAGACUAAAACCUCGUUACGCCGAAAAUAGUAGAGGUGCGACAGCGCUUUGGUAGUGAGUGGAAACUUACUUUCUGUCUGGUUAGUAGGAAUUUCUUGCCUGCUAAUGGAUUAGUCCAAGUUAGACCGAGAAGUAAGAGUUUGUAAUUGAAGUCGGGGGGCUGAAUAGAGAAAUUCUCUUCCCACGUAGCGCUAAGAAGCAAGUUCCGACAGCCUAUGAUGAAAUAGCACAAAACAAAAAAGGGCUACGCGAAUAAUAGUGUUAGUAGUUCGUGAGGCUAAUUUUGAGCUAGAUAGUGGAUUGAUGUUCACUGUAGCACUAUCUGACCUUGAAGGUUAAGUUAGUGUACCAUGAACUCCAUCCCACAUAUUUUGGAUGCUGUGGCAUCAGUUAUCUAGCUACAUUCUAUUACCGGUUGACACCAUUUUGCAAAACUUUGAUUCCGGUUACUGCUUGUUAAAUUCCGUUAGGUUCUUUGUCAAAUACUAACAGAUUUGAAUCCAUAUUCUUUGGGGGUCUAACUUUGGUUGUUCUUUCCUUCGAGCUAAGAUAGACCCUAUCAAAAACUAGUUCCAGAAGCAUCUUCCAUUCAUCUCGACCUAGACUGAUCUUUGUUCUGAUGAUGAUAAACCAUCAUCAAUUUUUAUAGUAUAUAUACCCCCAAGCCCUCUUUUUGUACCAUUUUUUUCUUUCUAAAAGAGGGCCUGGAACUGGGCUCUCUUCACAGCCCCUAAAGGCGUUAGGAAGAGAUUUAAUCAGCCAGCGUAAUAACUUCAAUCGAUAGAAAAAUCUAUCAAGACCUAAAACAAAGAAUACCAUCUCCCAGGGAGUCUUUUUAUUUUGCAUAUCUCGAGUUUCGAAUUCUCCUCACGCUUUUUCCAUCACGAUUUUCUCUUCGAGAACACUCGCCUCGUCGAUUCUUCCCCUCGUUCUUUUUAUCUUGGACAUUGAGAUGUUCAUGCAAAGCAUUCUUUUCUACCCUAUGUAGGCGACACAAGCUACGGAGCUGUAGACUUAAGACCUAAGGAUAUUUCUUUGACGGGUGAUCGGGUCUUAGAAUCCUCAGGAAAGUGUAAGCACCUGUAUACAAUUUCUAUUUUUCUUUCUAUAUAUAGAUAUGGCUUUCUCUUGAUGGAAUAUACCAAGCUAAAUCUUCUUUUUAGAACCACAACUCAGUGAAGUAGGCGACAACUGCUAUUAGGGUCUGUCUUAAGGCAUUGGCUCUCUAAAAAAAGGAUUUCCUAUCGUUGCAUGGGUUCGUUUUUGUAUAAAACAUAUUGACUACAAAUUGAACUAAAGAAAGAAUGUUGACUGUUCGACAACGUGAAGACCGCAAUCUCGACUUAGAAUAAUCAAACGCCCAUCACGAGUCACAUGGGCACCCCCACCAGGUAGAAUAGUUGUGAUAUCCCCAUCAAGAUCUAACUCUAAGAGGAUACUAUUCAUUUCUUCUUCACACUGCUGCUCGCUUUGGAGACUAAACUAUGUAAAUAAUACGUAACAGUAACCCAAGUAACGAUAAUAAGAAAGACUAGGGUAUAGCUGUUUAAAUCCCCGGUCGAAAUCAUCCAACAUCAAAUUGUAUAAGACCUUAGUGAUUAACCCAGCGUGUGGGAUCCCAACUUCCGUAAUAGAACAAUUAAUUCCAUUUUGGUCAUUGGUAUCUUUAAAAAGGAUGAAACUAAGGAUAUUACGUAGCUAUCACGCACCAAGGGUGCCAGCUUUCGUAAAAUUCUUUUAUGAGGAAUAGUACCUUGUGAGGGUGCUAGAUUCAAGAUGAAAAUAGUUAUAAUCUUCCCCACUCCACCUAAUUUGGCAAAGAACUCACGGCGAUCUCUGGGAAAACCACACGACUGCUCCUGAAAGAUAGAUGAACGCAUAAAACAACUAUUCAACAUAUGCGUCAGAGCGAUUAAAAGGAGAGCGUCCCUUUCACCGGGACAAACAACCCAUUUAUGAUCAGGGUCCCCUGGCUGACAUAAAGUUUCAACAUAAAAAUAAAUCGCCUCGUCUUUGGGAAUACUUAAUAACUUAAGUGGGGACAAUGCAUACCUCUCUUCUGAGAUAAGAAUGAUUAUAUCACAUACGCUUAAAGAGGGCAACGAAAAUAGAUCACCAAGUUUAGCAUAGACAUAUAAUAUUGACCGGGCAAGUUGCUGUGCGGAGCAUGAAUAAGGUGGAUUUUUCCGUGGGUCCUCGCCAUCUGAAUCAAUUCUGAACGAACAGUAUCUCUAUCUGGCUUUGUUAUUAUUACAGUGUUAUCUGCACCCAGCCAGUAAGUAGAGAUAUGGAGAGAGGGGACAGCUUUGUCGCGGACCUUUCUUUGCUUUCUUUUAUGAACUCCACUGGUCGUCCAUGGAUUAUAGGGGCUUUCCAUUGUAUAUAAAUACACUUUCCUAUCCUACUCUGCAAAUCCCAUUUUCCUUAAGCAUAUAGAAACCUAUGAUUCCAAUUUGCAUAUGCUGCUGCUUUGGUGAGUUUAGUGAUCAUGGCUGGCUCACCUGAUCUAUCAGCUGAGUAGUAAGCCUCCUUGGGAUAAUUAUCAAUAUCUCUUCCUAUCAAAAUGAGAUUAGGAGGGCGCCCUUUUUAAAGAGCCAGCCUGUCUUUCAAUAGAAACUAUUGGCAAUUGCCUUAGUCAUUCUCUUAUAUAGUGUAGUCCCCAUAGCAAUGGGCCUCGGUCUAGUGAGGUUUUGCUUUUUUGGGAAUCAUUGCUAGGAAUAAGGAUUGAGUUGCACCUGGUUUGCUCCUGUUUGACUUCAAUUACCAUAUGGAAAUGUAGAUCGUCCAACAUUAUGUUCCAGCACUGCCCCUGAAUUAAUCAACCAAGUAGAAGUUGAAGUUCAGUUGGAAUCCAUAUAGUCUAGUAGUUUUUUACUAUGAAUAGCCCCCUAUUGUUGAUAGAGAGCUUACCGCCCCGCCCUUUAUAGUCGCGACUGUUGUCAUGGAAAAAGAGUUUGUUUUCUGUCAAAGAAGCAUGCUUAACACAGCCUAUAGCAUAAAGGCAUUCGAGCCGCGUCUAAACUAAAUGGUGGGCAAGGGCCCGUACUCUCUCUUCUGUGGAUACGCUAUCCCUUCCGGCUAUGGUAUGGGGAAGGGGAGGUGAGAUCUACUCAUUGAUUUUAUAUUAGAUGAGCGGCCGUACUAUGAUCGUUCGAGAGACAUGGGCCCACGGCGCUACACACAAGAAUGAAUUGUUAUGCGGUCGGUAAACUCUUUCCUUUCUGUGGGCAGCCUAUCAAAUCGGAUCACGUAUUUUGGAAUAUGUCGUUACAUCAUGUACAUGUAUUCGCCUUUCCAUUAUUUUGGAUGUUCCUGCUCGUGCCCGGAUAGAGAAUGGGCACGACUCCCCCUCUCCCCGUUCUACCGUCCAAAUAGGCCGGCCGUUCUAAGUUCCGGGGUUGGGUCAGAUAGGACCAGAUCCAAUCGGAUCUGAUCGUAGCUUCGAGUUCAGGUGCCGUACUACGGCUGGACCGAAAAGGAGGGGGACAGCGAACCUCCUGCCAAGAGGCCAAGGUUGCUUGCUAACUCUCAGCCACUUGUUAGAAGGAAGUGUAGCUUGAUUGUCGGGGGGAAUCAACGGGAAGGAAAAAAGAAGGUAGAUUAUUCUAUUCUAUUUCCUCCUUUGGUAAGGAUUGGCUUUUUGUUCAAGGGUAUGUUAAAAACGAUCGUCUUUUCUUUGUUUGUAUCACCGAGACACCCGAAGGGCCGGCCAUAUGUACCUCGGGAGCCCCGGCCCAUUCAAAUCAAAAUAGAACGAGCACAUACGACUAAGGGGAAUGGAAUGUCGACCACAGGGUGAGAGAAUCUUAUAAUACGAGGGCUAGUGACUGGUCAAGUCAUUAAACUUAGUCAUUUUGAUCAACAUGGCUGCAAGUGGACUGGGUUUAUGGGGCUAAACUGACUACGACCAAAGUCGUGGCUACUUCAACCAAAAAAAGGGCGACCCCCUAUUCAAACCAAAAGAAGUACCUCACCUCACUUACGAAGAAGUUGUUGGAGCUGGGCUCCGAACUAUGAGAGUUUGCUUUUUCUCUUUCUCAGAGCGGUCUGAUCAAAUAGGGGAUCAGACCACUCCUGGUGUUUUAACUAGUCAUUAAUGGUCGGCUUAAUUAGUACCCUUUCGGUAUGUGUUGCGAACACUUUCAUUUUUAGCCUCUCAUCUUCUCUAGAGAAGCAAAACUCGAACGGAUAGAACAGAUGGUCCAACUACAUAACUUUUUCUUUUUCAUUACUUCCGUGGUCGUGCCUCGUGGCACGGCAUCACCCGUACUAUUGAAAUGGUUCGUCAGUAGAGAUGUUCCCACAGGUGCCCUUUUUCCAAUGGUACUAUAAUUCCUAUUCCUAUCCCUUCAUUCCCUCUUUUGGUCUAUCUACAUUCCAGGAAAUUCAUACGCUCCGCGGACGGAGCAAAAAGUAGACUCUUGGUCAGAGCAAGCCGCCCUAUUCUAUUACCAGACAUAAUUGGGAGAAGCUCAUCCCAAACUAGAGCUAGAGACGCUUUAUUUCGUUUCGUUCCCGUUCUUCAUUUCCUUCUUCUCGAAUCCAAGGGGGACUUCUCAUAUUUCGAAUCUUUCUGCGGUGUGCUCCGUUUACUAUUCUUUCGUACUUUCUUCUUUUUACCACGCGAUAGGUCAGCGAAGCCUGAGCGGGCGCGGAGAAGGAAAGGCCAAACACUUCGGCCUAACGGGAAUGAGAAACGACGAAAUGAGAAGAUGAGGUGCCUCGGGCACCCCCAUUUAGAAAGAAGGGUCGAAGGUUUUGGGCCUGUAGCUUUCGCCGUCCCCCCUUCGUCGGGCGGUCCUUGUGUGGAGGGUGCGCCACCUGAAAUCGGGCUUGAAGCUCUCACCUUACCAACAAGCCGAGAGCUGAUGGCUGUUGGUCACGACUACUAUCAAAAAGCUCCUAUGAAGAUGAAUAUUUCACAUGGAGGAGUGUGCAUCUUUAUGUUGGGUGUUCUUCUGUCGUGCGAACCGGCGGCUUAUGUGCGACCUGUGGCCCACGCCUCCUAUUUGUUCAGGGCGGGCAGCGUGAACUCUGAUUCGAUCCGGGUAUUCAAUCCUGCCGCUGAGAUGCUCAGUUGACUCCUUAACCUUGAUAGGAAGAUGGCUUAUUCAAUAAUUCGUGCAUAAGGGUAAGGAACUUUGGAUGAACUAAUGCGAAUGGGUGUAAGCCUCGCUGCUCGGAAACACCCAGUGCUGACCACACUGAGAGACACGAAAGCGCAGGUAACGCCAGUUGGCGAAGUGGCGUUAAGCAUCCCUAGCGGUACGAAAAGAUUGAAAGGAAGAACUUAGGACUUUGGGACUUACCCUAGGACUCCAACCCCUAGCAUUCCAAUUGAAACUCAAGGAGAUGGAACUAAACAGGCUUAGGCCCCUUCCCUCUUUCAAGGGGACUAGAGGGAAUGCAACUACUGAGACAGCAACUCAAACUAAAUCCCGAGAGAAAAUAAAAGAUUAGUGAGGUAAGGUCUAUAGACUGUAAGGCAGAAGGCUUGAAAGGAAGAUCACUCCUACUUACUUUUGGGAGAAAUCCUAGACACCUUAGACACCGGAUCCUCGGUAGGACUCUUAUUUGAUAGGCAUUAGGGGAUUUGAGGUUUUGGGGUUUCACUCGCAGACCCAGCCCUGCUGCUUCCAUCAGUCUCCUAUCCUAAGUUUCUUUCUCUGCAUGAAUCAAGUUCUUCGACAGGACCAUCCCGACCGAGGGCUAAUCAUAGAUCUACUAUGGUAUUUUUUUUGAUUCUUUUAUCUUAUUUCCGGUUCCAAUUUCUGGGAUUAUUAUGUUGAGUCACUCCAAGAGUAGAAUCAGCAGCUCACCUCACGUUUUAGGAACCGAGGAAUCACACGUAGACAGACCUGAGCAUUCUCCUGCUCUACGGAGCCCUCUGGAGCUAGAGCUGGGGUUGCUUGACGCUCUUCUCCUUUCGAGUGAAUUGAAUUACUUCGGCUCGGAUGCCUUUGAUCAAAUGGAAGGAUGGAUGCCUGCCUUUAGCGACUUCGUUCGGUCAUUCCUUCUUUACUUGUUCGCUAUGGCUUGAGAGUUAAUCGCACGAGAGAGUAAGUAAGAGAUUGAAAAGAGGAUCAUUGGACCUCGCUCUCGGCCUAGAGGCAGAGCAAAGAAAGCCUUAGAUCUUUGCUUGUUUCGUGGUAUGGACCAAAGCAAAGGUUCUGCUGCCAUCGACACCUACCCAAUUAACCAAAAGUAUAAUCGAUCGAGACCGAAGCUUAUGCAAUUGUGGAAUUACGUUCAAAUAGAAAGCUUUUUGGCCAGUUCAAGGUCAGCCGUGAGCUGUAGGAAAAGAUAGUAGCGAACCAGAAGAAAUUCCCGUAGUUGCAUAAGCGGGACGUUGAAAACAUUCCAGCAGAUAGUAUGUAAUACUCUUAUCAAAACGAGCACUAUACUCUUUCUUAGUUUAGGGAAUAAACAUACUCAAGGAACGCAAAGCUAACCCUCAAAAUUGAAUAUUACCUCAGCUCAAAGGUUGUUUACUCAGAUAUUUCUUAUCAAAGUGAGGGAUUCGUUUCAGGCGAAAUCAAAUCAGAAGCAAUUUCCGCUCUACCAUGAAUUGUUGCUAUUUCCGCACCCCUGUCCGGUGGUUUGAGAAAGAAAGUCGAGACAUUCAGAAAGAGAGUUAUGGCAUUUCGAGGAUUAUAAUAUGGUCCUAUUGAUUCAAUCUUUAUGCUUGGCACGGAACUCUUGUUUCGAGUGAAAGGGAGAGCAGUGGCCCGCACCGCAUUCACCGGUAAAUUUCCCUCUACGGGGCGGGGUGUGGAAAGCACUAUAAGUUAGUUGACAUCUCGACCAAAGGUGGUCUAGCUCAACCUCCAAGUAGGAAUAGAUUCUAUGAGUCGUGAUCCAGUUAAGAUAGGGGGCAUUUCUAGCAUUGAAAAUCCCUAUUCUUAUUGAAUAGUUCAAAUAACUAGUUGAACAUACCUAUUCUUUUCAAGAAUAACUUCCCCUUAUCGAAAAGAAGGGCCCGAAGGAGAGAGGACUGGCCUUCUAAUCCCCCUAAGGAAGUAGAGCGCGGUGAAAGAAUUCCGUCGUUCAGUCGAAGGGGACAGGUUAGCAGCUUCAGGAUAACCCGAGCAGUGAAAGAGAAGUAGGGUUCAGGCCAAUCGAUCCUAUUUCGAUUAUACGGCUCGGUUCUAAACCAAAAAAGGGCAUUUGAAAGCAGAGCAAGUAUUAGUAGCAUUACAAAAAAGCCUUCCUCGUCAUUAAUAUCUUUGCUCGCGGCAAUUGUGACCCUCGGGAGAAUCGAUGACUGCAUCAAAGAUGCAGUGCUAGUACAUCUGAGACUUCUUAAUUGGCUAGUUGUAAAUAGCCCCAGGGCUAUGGAACAAAGGAUUAUCUCGGACCUAGACCGAGGUAUUGAUGGUGAUUUUCGAAUCUCGCAGAACAGAAUGUGAUACGAUGAGAUAGAAUGCAAUAGAAACAAAGACAGGGAACGGGUUACCUACUCUUAACGGGCAAAGCGAGCCCCUUUAUUCUGAAUUAAAGAAUUAGGAAUCAAUCAAAUCUCCCCAAGUAGGAUUCGAACCUACGACCAAUCGGUUAACAGCCGACCGCUCUACCACUGAGCUACUGAGGAACAACAGGAUAUUCGAUCUCAUAGAGUUCAAUUCCCCUUCUCCGGAUUUACGCGGUGAGCACAACUCUUGCUCGGGUAGGUGGUGCCGGUUUCCGGCAACUCGCUAAAUUCCACCAUGCAGCGGCCAUCGCCUACCCUAAUGCUCCUGCUCCGGACCUUACUGCUGGGUUUGCUUUGAGCUUUCUUGCUUGCUAUGCGCCAGCUAGCGGAAUGCUUUACCGAAUGCGCCAACCAACCUCUGGUGUCGAGCCUACGUGUGCCAACUCCAACUAGGAAACUACUACCGCUUGGGCCUAAGCUCCUGAACCGGCAGGAAGAAGAAGCGCCCCCGAACCCCCCUUCUUACUACCCUUUCAGAAGGUGAGGCAGAAGGAUUGAGAUUCUCGUAAGUAAUGUUCGAAAGCACUGUUCCUUGAUCAUGUAAUUAAGAGAUCUCCUUAUUAAACCCUUAUUCAAUAUUUUGCAUACAAAGCAGAGGUGCGAAGCGAAGGUGCGGUCCAGCUGCAGGAAAGACCAAUCACAGAGACAAAUUAAAAGAGAUUCCCGCCUCCGGGCAGGGGUUCCCCGCGGGGCUAUUACACGUAUUCCCCCCGGGGUAGCUACAAGCAUAAACCGGUUUAAUAAAUUACGUAGAGUGAUCGCAGAAACUAUUCGCAAGCUUGCGCACACGUGGGAAAGUUGAAGCUUUCUGAGAAUGGAGAACCCCGGACGGCCGUGGAGGCCUGAAAACAAGACAGUCCGAAAAAAGGGCCUUCUGUCUACACGCUUUCGAGAAUAGAAUAGACGAGACGGCUGUGAUUGACAAAGUAGGGGGAGGUGAGUCUUGUCUCCUUUCACAUUGUCGUACUCGGAGGUCCCGAGAGUACAUGCCAGACGAAACGACGGUGGCUCCAUACGGGGGAUUGUCGGGUUCUUAUGGGUGCAUUAACUAGAAAUUGGUUGGAAUUGGAAGUAACUGUAAGCGAGGGAGGGAAAGGAAAAGAAAAAAGUUUUAUGCGUUCGUGCUCCACAUCCGUGAAGCACUUCACUCGCUCAAGAAGACACAUAAAAUUACUAGCUUUUCGGUGUUGAAGGAAAGAGGCUUUAAACCUUCAUCGACGCCAACACACUGGCAGGGGGAGCAGCAUGGAAAGCGAGGCUCCACACCCUUCUCCGUGGGCUUUAGGAAUCGAAACCGGACAAAGCUCGCACACAAGCCUGCUACCAAGCAGGAGCAAAAAAAGAAAUAUGUUGAAUUGGGACAGGAAACCAUCAUAAGCCAGCCAACAAGCAAAACGAGUUCUCAUUCACGGAUAACUAAGCUUUGACAAGGGAGAGGGGGACCCUUCUCAUACCCGCCCUUACAGGAGCCUAACGGAGAAAAGUCUAUGCCCAAUAGGGGAAGACUGCGGUAAAAGGAUGUCCGUCUGUUGAUGGCUAGCUCGUAGACGCAAAUAUUGGACCUAGGUUUGUUGAUGGAUCUGGUCUUGUCGAACAGGUCCGGAUUCGAGGUUCGAACACAAAAGUCCACUAGCCGAGCUGAACUGGUUAGUGAUGGAAGCAAUUCCCACGAACUGAGAACAAAAGGAUGUACUUGCCCCCUUCCCCAGCCAUUACCGCUCAUCCACCCCUUUUUAUGUUAAAAUCCUGUCUUUGUCUUUCCAGGCUGUCUUUUGCGUGCUAUUCCUUACGCCCUGAGAAAGAACCUCCACUUGGAUUCAUUUCAAGUCUCGAGUUCUUGUUUAGAAUUCUCGUAUAUGAAGUUCGAACGAGAGCUUUGAUACAAUUCAAAUUGACAAGCAGUACUGACAGCAUAAUAAAUGUCCGGAGGAUAGAACAAAAUCUUUAAUUCCCGGGUUUCCUUUGCCAAUAGACCAAUCAAUGGUGCUCUAUCGGAAACAAGAUUCAGCCGCUACAAGCCCACGCCGGAGCACUCCAAAGGCUUGGUGAGCUAGGUUUAGUGACUGGGGCGGACUUCUAUUCUAUACCUGUCUCCUUCUGUUACUAUUAUAUAACCUCCUCGAAGCAAGGAAGGGAAGUUGAGUAAUUGUGAAGACUAGCGUAGAAGUUACUAACUUUUUUUUAUGGAAGCCGAGACCCCUCCGUGACGUGGUCUUAGACUGGUUAAUCGCGAUGGACCAGUAUUUCGAACUAAAAGAGAUUUCGGACCCGGAGCGGGUACGUUUCAUUACCACGAAGUUGAAGAAAACAAAAAGGCAGGUUUAUGGUGAGCACAUGUACGACAGAAGAGGGAGCUGGAGGAGAAGCGCUACGAAGAACAAGAAGUUCUGAAGUUUAAGGAUUAAUUUCUACCAGGUGAUGUCGAAGCGGAAUUCAUAAAUAAGUUUAAGAAUUUGAAACAGGGUUUUUCCUAAAUUUCUAUGAGAAAGUACAUGAAGGAGUUUAACCUAUUGUCUCUACGAUGUAGAGUGAAGGAGGAGGACAAAAGGCAAUAUUCGAGCUGAAUGAAUUGCAUUUGUCUUUUCUGGAUAGAAUAGAAGGAGCAUACCGUAUUGCUUUGAGGGUCGAAGGACCUACUACUUGAGCCAAAAACAAGAAAGAGAAUGAAAGAAACGAAGGUAAGAGUCAAAAUACGCCGUGGAGAAGAGCUUACUUAUGAGCAAAAGGGGAGAACGGGGUCGCAGGAUGAGAUUCUGAAAGAGUAACCGCAAUAUCAGAAGAAUUUCUUCCUUGAUUCCUUUGACCUGAGACUGCUACUUGUAUUUCCUUUACUACUCUUUCUCUCUCCUCAGUUGAUUCUUGAGCCAACAAAGUUUUUGCUUGUCUUUCCUUGCUACUUUCAAUCAAUCUGAAAAGGAGGAUUGAGCAGUGGCUUGGGAAAUAAGACAACACUUGAUGGGAAUUGGGGAGUAGUAAGGGAUGAUAAAGAGUGAAAUUUAGUCACCCUCUCCGCUUUCUUUUCUUGAGAAGAAUGCUCUGGUCUGGCAUAAAUGCCACUAGGUCAUCUAUGAUUUGCAUCUGCAAGAAUGAAGGACAGAAGAUUGGAAAACAAAAAAGAAAGCCAGGGCGUCCGGUGGAUGAAGUCUACCUUUGUAAUGUCAGGCUGAAAGGGGGGGAUAGCACUAGAGAGUCGGGAACUUUCACUGCAACUGAAGAGGCUCACACCUUCCAUCAAACUAACCUAUCAACAGAAAGAACCGAGGUUGAUUUCUUUGCAAUAGGGAAUGCAGUUGAAAUAGGGAUUCGCUUGAAAAGAGAGCAGUACUACAAAAAAGCUGUAAGACAGAAAUAAGUCGAUUGCUGCCAUUCCGGAAAUCAGGGUUCAGAAGUCUUUCGUCCGGGAGAUAUAGCUCCUCAGCGCAUACAUACAGAGAUCCUGUGAUUUGAUCUGUACUAGAGACGGGAAGAACCAGAGGAAGACUCCAUAGCUGAUAGAACCAAGGACAAGGUCUGGACUGACGAGAAAGUGAAAAGUGAUCUGCACUAUAGCUUCUCCCAUUCCAUUCCUUAUUGUUGCUUUGCUUUUAGUGCUUAGAUAAGUUUGUUUGUUUUGUAGCACGGUGGGAUAGAAAGUGCUUUUUCCCACAGUAGGGUAGGGAGAGAUUCUUUCUCUUUACUAGAGCCAAGACUGUACGAGGAGAGAAAGACUUAAGUCGACUCAAGUGGAAAUAAUCAGAUUGCUUCCAUACCUUAUCUCAGGUUACCCCUUAGUGCGGGUAUGGGGCCCUUCGUCAGCAGUGGUUCGUUUAGCAAGCAGUCUUAUUGCUUGAAAGCACACACAGCACACAGUAGGAGAGUUCGAGUGCGAAAGCAGUGUACUCAUGCCCCUGGGAUAGGGUAUGCUUUUAGUGCGUUAUCUAACUAUAAGAGCAGGAGCAGCAAGCACUUACUUUCUUUAAGACGCUAACUUCCACAGCAGCUAAGAAUUAUCUCAGGUUUUCCGUUAGUGCGCUCCCGAAAAAAGGAGCAAAGGCGAAAAAGCUCAAGUGAUUUUCCCUUGCCUACUGUCAGGCCAGGGAAGAUAACUGCAUACCCUAGGGAAUACAACUCCAUAAGAGCGAGAAAGUACGGGGAUAGAAAGAAUCACACGAUUCCCUAUCGUGAUAGAAGCAACAAUAGGAUAGGAGUGCACAGGUUCGCAACUGGACUCUUCUCUGACUAGAAGAGCUGCGCCUAUAUGGCUAUAUAGCGUCAGCGUUGUUUGCAAGUCACGUCAGUGCAGGCGCAGCGUAGCGUCAUGGUAGCGUUAGCUAUGCGAGACUCAGAGAAGCAUAGCUCUGCUAGCGAGCCCCUAUGCGAUAGCUAGACUCAGAGCGAGACUCUCAGAUUGACCUGACGUUUCUAGUGCCCAGUGAAACGCAAAGAGAACCAAUUCUUCCUUAACUAAGUCAAAGAGCGGAUUCGUACUAUCCUGUUAAACAGUCGAGUUGCCGACCACCUGAGUACCUUAGUGGUGUCACUCAUAGAUCAGCAAAUCCGCACAUUUGAAGUCUUGUCGAGGAUUUUUUCUGCAAGAAAUCCGUGAUUUGAACCAGACUGGCCAACUUCCCAAAUGGUCCAACGAAUCCAGCUGAGCACAGAUCUACUCUUCGAAUCACAAGCAACAAUAGAAUGAAACCGUUCAAAAGGGGUACGAUAUCAGGCCUUGCAGGGUAAGGUCAGCUGAUUAGACCCGACAGGACAAUCGGUUAUAUGACGGCUCUCGUCGACCGGGCUGGCAUGCGGAAAGCAAGAGCGAGCUUCUUCGCUCCAUACGUUGGUCCAAGAUCCAUCAAAGGCUCAUAAUCCAAGGACCCUUUACUUCGUAACCUUCAACCAAGGUCCUGUGGAAUGAAUAAUACGACAUUUCGUGUCCUUCCCAUCAAAUCAUCAGUUCCCAGCCAAGUUCUAUCUGAAAGGAUUGAAUGUAGUAAUUCAUCUCUAGUAUAGGCUUGCAAAAGACCGGCUACACAAGCUUUGCUCCAGGCUAGAUAAAAGAAUUCCUGAUCUUGUCGGAAUGGGAGCAGCUAUUUCAUUCGCGUCUGGCUUGACUUAAAGGAUGGAAUGGGCUGAGAAGUCAUCCUAUCGUGCUACUAGCUUUGAACCGGAUUGCUAACGAGCAGAUGCCCUGUGCUCUAUCAAUCUAGUCCCAGUCUUUCCAGCAAGCGAGCGAGUGAGACUGACGAAACCGGGUACACUGAAGACAAAGCAAUUCAUUGCGUACAGACAGACUCAUAGUCAACAAGACAGCGAAGUAUCAACAAACCCGGUUAGACAAAGGAUAGAGAUUCAACACCCAAUCCAAGCAAAAUGACCACCGGAGGGGAUUUGGAGUCUUCUUCUUCACUCGAAUGGAGCUGAAAGUCAAGAACGAGAAUGGGAAGUAGCGCCGCAACUCCGGACCGAAAGCACGACACGAAUGGCAAGCGCGUAAGCGCAGGUUUUCCGUCUUUCCUUUCCCUUCCUAGACAGCGAAUCGAAAUCUGAGUCUGUCUGAAAGUGAGUGAAUCUCGGGGAGAGGCACGAACUUAAGGAGCUAACUUAAGCUUGGUCGAUAGUCGUUCCGGUCCUAGCUGGUUCAUGAUCUAGGAAGUCAAUCUAAUCUUCUUUUGGUCAAAAGCGGUAUAGCUGUGAAUCGAAUCUGUCUGUCCUCUAACCGAAUUAGCGCAUCUUCCUUUCUCUUUGUUGAAUAGUGGAGCUCCACUCCAGUGAAGCAAGACUGAAUCCGGAGAGUUCGAUCCAUGUACUCUGUUCUGUACACUACAGAUUUGACUACUUGCAAACCUCUAACCAAGGCUUGCUUCCUAGGAUCUAGUCCAGAUAAUCUAUCUAUGAUCUUUCCCCUCAAGCUAGUUAGGGAACUACCUUUGCUCCGCACCUUAUCCUUCGAUCCAAUCCACGAGGCAAAAUACAGGUGUGGAAGGGCUUCACAUCGAACGAGUUAAAUAAGACUUCAAAAUAGACGUGACUAAUGCAAUAAGUAGACUUGAAUUAGCUCUUUUAGCUAUAGAAGUUCGAGGUGGAAUCUCCUUUGUUGGUAAACUAUCUGUAGAAGAUGUUGAUGCAAUAUGCGGUGCAUGUGUUCUCGAAAGCACUCCGGGAGAGAGUGGUUUUUUUCUGGACUUUAGGUCAUCUUGUGACCUCUACUUUGAUUUAUGCGAUUGUUGCCGCAUGUAAGGCGUAAAGAAGGCAAGGAGUUCUUUCCUAAAGGAGUCUUUAACGCUUCUCCAACCCUCCGAAGACACGAUCAAUAGGGCGCUAAUCUAAUGCAGUGAAGGAGGCUUACAACAAUGAUAUCCUGCCUUAGCUGCUUUAUCCUUCCCUCAACCUCCCCAGAAAGAGUUUAUUCAUUGUUGUCUUGGGGAACCAGAAAUGGAAUCGGUUCAAGAACCAACCACUGAAAUUUCCACCUAUUGAGAUUUCUCGUAUUUUUAGAGCUUUACUGAAGCUAUUGGAAGUGACUCUACUCCAAAGUUGUCUGGGCUGGGUCCCUCAACCCAAUAGUUCGCUAGGGCGGUGCUCAGAUCAACACAAAUAAAAGAAGAAAAAAGCCCUAUGCCCCCUGAUCAUGCCUCGAAGAAGGCAAUUCACGAGGAAAGUGGAUAUCUCCUUUCAGUCGAGCUGGAAUGGGUUCCUUCUUAUCGCUUUUCUUCUACCCAGGAUUGCUACCUUUUUCCGGGAAUUCUCAAAAUAGAUGUUUCAAAAUAGACUUCUAUGAGUGAAAGCAGGUUAUAGAAGAUUUUUCUAUUUGCUUCAAAAAUGGCAAUGAAAGAGGGUGAUAACAGAAAGUGCACACCGCUAUCUCAUGAUAGAAUACGGCCCCUUUGGCUUGCCAGAUCGAACUGGCUGUAAAUUCAGGAAGAGGCACCUUUCGGGACAAGGGUAAACUCGAAGCAAGAAAAGUGCAGAUAGCAGUCAACAAAGGUUUAGUGCUUCUCUUACACUUCACCUUCCCCCUAAAGGGUAGUUUUCAUUCGAAAUAGUGCUAUUCAAUUGGUCAAUCCUUAGAACUCUGAAUGGAGGUAGAAAGAAUAGGUUGGAACUAUUGAAAGAUGAUAGGCUUAUUCUGAAAGUACGCAUUUCUUGCUCUAAGUCCGCUGGGUUGGAUCGAACUAGUUGGUUUGGCAGGAAGAUAAUGGCAUAAAAGAAGCAUUCCACUUUUGGAAAGAGAAGAGUCAGUCUGCUUCGCACCUCUGUCUUGCAUUGGGUUAACUGGAGCUUAGAUAAAGCAAUAGGCAGAAGAGAGAGAAUUAGUCUGUCUUUAUAGACUGACUUUCCUCGCAUCAAAGCUUUCCGAUUCUCUUCCUUUAUGAAGAAAGGAAAGGCUUGUUAUCGACGAAGAAGAUCUUUAUACUGUUCAUCCUAAGAAAAGAAGUUUUCACUCGGUACAACUAUUCUAUGCUAGCAUAGCAUGCUUCUACUUAUGUUGUGUUGCAAAUUCCGGAUCAGGAACAAUCCUUUCUUAUUCUAAGAUGCCCGUCUAAAAAUCCGUACUUGUUGACUAAAAGGCUUUCGGCUUUCUAGCAAGCUUAAGGGCUAAGGGAAAUUCAUCCUUGGAUCAAUGAAAUAGUUGAAUUAGCUAAGAUGCAAGAAGCAACCUCUUAUUGAAAUGACUUUAGGAAGUGCCUAACCUUUCUCCUUCGAUCCGAUCCUUUCUGUGACCCGAAAUGAACUUAUUCUCUCUUCGUCUCUUGCCUUUGAAUCGGAUAUUCCGAUGAAAGCGGAUUCUCUUUCCGUCCCUCGUCAUCGAGAGGAAGAAUCGCUAUCUAUCUAUCUAUCCAUAUACGUAUCAACAAAUGUGGUUCCAGGGAUCGGUCGAUUGCCCCUCACCAGCAGCUAGAGGAGGAGAAAGGAAUGAUGUCCCGGCCUGGGCUGGGCACCUAUCAGCCAACUAUUCCUUUUUGGAAUGGAAAGAAGAAAGGAUGAUCUACGAUCACUGAUGUCGAAUUCACGAAAAAGAUCAUAUGUGAAAGAAUCGUCAGAUUAUGGGUUCCCGGAGUAGACGGAAUGGAGAAUAAAUGAAAUAGAAUAGUCUGGCAGAAUCGUAUGAUAGGGAAAGUGCUCCGCCUCCCACUUGUCUGGGUUACCUCAGAGAUAGAGUCAUUAGGCGAGAAAAAACAACCUAGUUAGUGCACUAACUCAAACCUAGUUUUUGCACGAAAUGUCCUGCUAACAUAGGAGCACUCUUACUAAGAAAUGGAAGAGCAAAUUUCUUUCUGUUCGACGACACAAUGCCUCACCUGCCCUCUGCUACACAUCUCUUUCGUUCGCCCUAGACCCACCCCCCAAAUGGAACUCCGCCCUUUUUGUUGGGUUAGAGCGAGUAUGAAGUCAGGGAGGAAGAAGAAGAGAGGGAAGAAAUAAUAUAGUAAUAUUUACCUUUCCCAGCUCUCAGAAAUGGAGAAGGAAUCAAAAAUCUAGUGAACCCCUCAAACUCCGUAGGUAAUUCGAGACAAUUCAAGAAGAAUAAGAUAAGCUAACACAAAAAAGUCGAUUUGAUUGACAAUAUUUCUCUGUAAAUCUAUUCGGAUGAUAUGCUAAUUUAUGCAGCCGAGUCACGAGGGCUUCUUCUUCUACUCCCUUCCCGGAAGAUAGAGGGAACUUAGCCUCUGACAAUGUAGUAGCUGACAUAGGAAUAGCUGGCAAAGGAAGAGCUUCCGCUAAGAUUCUUACUUAUUUGGAAACUAGAUUUGCUUCCCCUGCAGACUCUUCUUUUGAAGAAUCUGAUUCGCUAACAUUGGUAUACUGAAUUUGCGGCAUGGCAUAGAAUAAAACAUGAAUGGGUCUUCCUUGCCAACCUUCGCUUCUAGAAGGAAGUAAGUAGAAGCUGACCCUCCAACAUACAUUGCAGGGAAGGACCCCUCCAGUGGCAUACUUUAUGGAGAAAGGCUUCCAUCAGCAGGCAGGUAUUUACUUUUCUGAUACCUUCACGUCUUGUUGUCAAACCAACUACUCUAAGUAUUCUAAAAUAUCUCGCUUGCACAUAUAAUUGGGUUCUUAAGCAACUGGAGGUCUGUAAUGCCUUUUUACACGGAACUCUUGAGGAGGAAGUCUAUAUGUCUCAACCUCCUGGUUUUCUGGAUACCGCUCAUCCAGGAUAUGUCUGCCGACUUCACAAAGCUCUUUAUGGACUGAAGCAAGCUCCCAGAGCUUUUUUCACUUGUUUCAGCACUAUAUUGUGCUCUAAAGGGGUUCCGUGGCAGUGCCUGUGAUACCUCUUUAUUCAUUCGUCACACAUCUGGGGAUAGUAUCUACCUUCUUUUAUAUGUCGACGACAUUUUUCUCACAGGUAGUGAUCAACAGGGAAUACUUGCUCUUCUUUCGUUCUUGCAUGCUCAUUAAAAUAUGAAAGACUUGGGCCUUCUCCACUACUUUCUUGGUAUGGAAGUGUAUCGGCAGGGGCGCACUCUUAUCCUUCGUCAGCAGAAAUAUGCCUAGAUCUCUUGCCUCGUGCAGACAUGCUUGAUUCUCGUCCUUUGGCCACUCCUCUUACUAGUGGUACCGAGCUUCCCAAGUUGGAUGUCACUUCCCUCUCUGAUCCCACCAAUUUCAUUCUUCUAUUGAGUCGGCUAACUGUAACUAUAAGCUACACGCCUCGAACUCGUAUAAAGAUUCUUCCUCUAGGGCCUUCUUUCACCUUUUGUUAGCGACCCUUAAACGGGUUCCAGCAGUGCUUCAAGCCUGACUUUUUUUUUCGUUUAGUCUAACUAUUUUCCGAAUUUUAUAUAUGAAUGAAAGCUACGUUUCGGCAAAUUAUAUAAACUUACUAAGGAAGAAAGAGCAAAACUUUUCAAAGCCGAGGUCAGAGCUUCAAGUCAGUAAUGUCUCUUUAGGACGCCAUACCCUACUACAUUUCUUAUUCAAUAUAAUAAUAUUACUACAAUGUCGUGCCGAUGUCUCUCUUACGAAAAUGAAGAUAAGUCUUUUGAUUAGGAGGGUGACAACCGAGGCUUUUAAGAGAAGUUGCCAUAGAGGCUAUAAAGAGCUAUUUCAUAUCUAAUAGGAAAAAAUUCUUAUGUCUACUUUGGGAAAUGGGGUCCCAGGAUUACCUCUGCAUGCUCCAUCAGUAUUGCACUUCAUUCCUCAGUGGUGGAACCAACCAAGAUGUAUGUCGUCCGACCCGACCUCAGACUCUUUCUUCCCCACCUACACAAGUGGUUUUUUAACCCAAAUUAGGAAAAGUUCUGUCAGGUUCUUAGUAGCAAUCGGCGACGUUUUCUUCUUUUACUUCACAUAGCUUUUCGUCUCCUUGAUCAAUUCCCUUUUUUAGGCAGUUUCGUAUUCUAAUGAUCCCGUCUUACCUGAUGAUUAGGAUUUGCUUUCCCUAUUUGAAAAAAGGAGAUCUGUGUCACUCUCACUAUGCUUCACACAUGAAAUUCUACAGCUUUCAAGGGCUCGAAUAGAUUGAUUUGAGAACUUGUUUCAGGGUUGCCCCGUGGGAGAACUUUCAUAAUCUCUUUCGCUCUCGGAUCUAAUUCUCUGCUUAGUGACUCGAUCUCUCUUUCUUUUGAAGCUCGUGCAAAGCGCUAACUAUCUGAAGGCCUCGCACCGGCGCUAGUUGAACCUUCUUCGGUCUCUUUCAGCGGCGGGCUUACCUUUUUUAUUAGUAUUGAAUUCAUGUCAUUGUCGCUCAUCAUCCUUGUUAGAAAAGGAACAAGAAACUCUCUUUAUGGGAGGGGAAGGUCAUAUUAAAAAAAAAUUUACCAGAAUUCCUCCACUACGGAUGGACUGAUCUAAAGAGCGGAGACUUGAUUCGAUAUUUACAGUUGCUAUAGGUUAGGGCUUCUAUCGUGCUAUUCUAUUUCUAUAGAGAGGUAGGCGACAAAGACAAGGGCUAUGGAUAGUUGCUGUUUGCGAGAAGCGUCUAUUCCGCUUUAUCCUUUCAAUAAUUAUAUUGAAUAAAGACAAAUUGAUCCACUGGUAUUUCGAUGCUCGAUCUCUACUCCUCGAAAGCUCACUCACAAUCUAUGGCUCACUUAGGGCUAGAAAGAUAGGAUUCUUCAUACAAAGCCAACCGGGAAACUUCUUUCCAAACUCGCUCGACAAACAAAAGAAAAGACGAAAGACGAGAAUCGGCGCAAGGAUCAAAACACUUAAUAGACAUAGAAGAGUAAAAGAAAUGCUUCCUAGCCUACCGAAAACUCGGUUGAAGCUAGUUAGGUCCUCCGGUCAGUCAAGUGUUGACACCGGAUUUGGUUUGACCUUCCUUCUCAAUGUCCGGAUGAACAUGCAUUCUUUUCUCUACAGUAUGGUAGAGUAUUGUAGACUUAUAACCAAUCCAAUCGGAAACCUUAAUUCGAGAGAUCAAACUAGCAAGGAUAAUAUCGUAAAGUCGGAGAGGAAGAAGAAUGCCAUCAUAGAGGGAUCAGCGUGUAAACUUGAAGGGCUAGGGAACUCCUUUAGCUCAAUAAUGAAAGUUAGGGUCGAUCGGAGGAGGCCUUACCUCUUAGAUGACCCAAGCAAGUCAUUAAGCUAUUGGAUGGAUCCUCCUAACUGUAGUUACUUAAGGUCGAGUAGUAGACGGGUGAGGCCCACAGUUCUAAUAGGUUUUCACUUGAGCUUUCCGCGGCAAAGCAAGUCUACAAGCCACUGCAGUGAGGUUAUAGGUCUGAUUUCUUUCUCGUAUUGAGAUCUUAGAAUGCUAUACACAGCCCCCCUGCAAGGUUACUUUAGAUAGCGGUAUUUUCUGUAUAAGAUUGGCAUCCCCAUUCUAAGGUUACUUAGUACUUAGGUCGUGAGUUCCGAUCUUAGUAGCCUUUAUUCCCAUCCCGCGUAAGAACAUAGGUUUUUUCCCUCCGUUUCAGCUCUCCUUGCUUUAACUAAAGAACUACUUUUCACAUUAAGUAGGACUCUAAGAGCUCUACCUUAGAAUGAGUUAGAUUUGCUGUGUUAACAAGAAGGAAUGGCGGGACGCUAAAGAGAUGGCUAUGAGACUAGUGCAAUUAGGUAAUCGACCAAGUAAUCCACAUACAUGAUAAAAGAGCAUUCCAGCCCUAGUGUACUUAUCCACUGGCAUUGAAGGAGAAGAAUGACAAGGUCUGCUUCCACAGUAAGGAUUGCCUCUUAGUCCAAUCCAAGAGCAAACAAGGGACGCCUCAUUAAGCAAGAACCCGAGCUAAGAGCGGGGCAGUUCAAUUAAGGUAUAGAGAAAGCUCCAAGCAGCUACCAUUGAUCAACCUUAUUCAGGCACAUCAAUCAAAGAUCUUGCUUACCGGAUAACUUUCCUGGUGAAGGAGAGAAAGUUUGACAAGCUAAGAAAGUCUCGUUGAAAGCAGGAACUCAGACUGUGACGACUAUUUUUACUAGUUUCAAAGGCUUGAUUGACCCUUGGGAUUGAAUCUGGACAGAGGGUGCCCUCGUAAAGACUAAAACCUCGUUACGCCGAAAAUAGUAGAGGUGCGACAGCGCUUUGGUAGUGAGUGGAAACUUACUUUCUGUCUGGUUAGUAGGAAUUUCUUGCCUGCUAAUGGAUUAGUCCAAGUUAGACCGAGAAGUAAGAGUUUGUAAUUGAAGUCGGGGGGGCUGAAUAGAGAAAUUCUCUUCCCACGUAGCGCUAAGAAGCAAGUUCCGACAGCCUAUGAUGAAAUAGCACAAAACAAAAAAGGGCUACGCGAAUAAUAGUGUUAGUAGUUCGUGAGGCUAAUUUUGAGCUAGAUAGUGGAUUGAUGUUCACUGUAGCACUAUCUGACCUUGAAGGUUAAGUUAGUGUACCAUGAACUCCAUCCCACAUAUUUUGGAUGUUGUGGCAUCAGUUAUCUAGCUACAUUCUAUUACCGGUUGACACCAUUUUGCAAAACUUUGAUUCUUGUUACUGCUUGUUAAAUUCCGUUAGGUUCUUUGUCAAAUACUAACAGAUUUGAAUCCAUAUUCUUUGGGGGUCUAACUUUGGUUGUUCUUUCCUUCGAGCUAAGAUAGACCCUAUCAAAAACUAGUUCCAGAAGCAUCUUCCAUUCAUCUCAACCUAGACUGAUCUUUGUUCUGAUGAUGAUAAACCAUCAUCAAUUUUUAUGGUAUAUAUACCCCCAAGCCCUCUUUUUGUACCAUUUUUUUCUUUCUAAAAGAGGGCCUGGAACUGGGCUCUCUUCACAGCCCCUAAAGGCGUUAGGAAGAGAUUUAAUCAGCCAGCGUAAUAACUUCAAUCGAUAGAAAAAUCUAUCAAGACCUAAAACAAAGAAUACCAUCUCCCAGGGAGUCUUUUUAUUUUGCAUAUCUCGAGUUUCGAAUUCUCCUCACGCUUUUUCCAUCACGAUUUUCUCUUCGAGAACACUCGCCUCGUCGAUUCUUCCCCUCGUUCUUUUUAUCUUGGACAUUGAGAUGUUCAUGCAAAGCAUUCUUUUCUACCCUAUGUAGGCGACACAAGCUACAGAGCUGUAGACUUAAGACCUAAGGAUAUUUCUUUGACGGGUGAUCGGGUCUUAGAAUCCUCAGGAAAGUGUAAGCACCUGUAUACAAUUUCUAUUUUUCUUUCUAUAUAUAGAUAUGGCUUUCUCUUGAUGGAAUAUACCAAGCUAAAUCUUCUUUUUAGAACCACAACUCAGUGAAGUAGGCGACAACUGCUAUUAGGGUCUGUCUUAAGGCAUUGGCUCUCUAAAAAAAGGAUUUCCUAUCGUUGCAUGGGUUCGUUUUUGUAUAAAACAUAUUGACUACAAAUUGAACUAAAGAAAGAAUGUUGACUGUUCGACAACGUGAAGACCGCAAUCUCGACUUAGAAUAAUCAAACGCCCAUCACGAGUCACAUGGGCACCCCCACCAGGUAGAAUAGUUGUGAUAUCCCCAUCAAGAUCUAACUCUAAGAGGAUACUAUUCAUUUCUUCUUCACACUGCUGCUCGCUUUGGAGACUAAACUAUGUAAAUAAUACGUAACAGUAACCCAAGUAACGAUAAUAAGAAAGACUAGGGUAUAGCUGUUUAAAUCCCCGGUCGAAAUCAUCCAACAUCAAAUUGUAUAAGACCUUAGUGAUUAACCCAGCGUGUGGGAUCCCAACUUCCGUAAUAGAACAAUUAAUUCCAUUUUGGUCAUUGGUAUCUUUAAAAAGGAUGAAACUAAGGAUAUUACGUAGCUAUCACGCACCAAGGGUGCCAGCUUUCGUAAAAUUCUUUUAUGAGGAAUAGUACCUUGUGAGGGUGCUAGAUUCAAGAUGAAAAUAGUUAUAAUCUUCCCCACUCAACCUAAUUUGGCAAAGAACUCACGGCGAUCUCUGGGAAAACCACACGACUGCUCCUGAAAGAUAGAUGAACGCAUAAAACAACUAUUCAACAUAUGUGUCAGAGCGAUUAAAAGGAGAGCGUCCCUUUCACCGGGACAAACAACCCAUUUAUGAUCAGGGUCCCGUGGCUGACAUAAAGUUUCAACAUAAAAAUAAAUCGCCUCGUCUUUGGGAAUACUUAAUAACUUAAGUGGGGACAAUGCAUACCUCUCUUCUGAGAUAAGAAUGAUUAUAUCACAUACGCUUAAAGGGGGCAACGAAAAUAGAUCACCAAGUUUAGCAUAGACAUAUAAUAUUGACCGGGCAAGUUGCUGUGCGGAGCAUGAAUAAGGUGGAUUUUUCCGUGGGUCCUCGCCAUCUGAAUCAAUUCUGAACAAACAGUAUCUCUAUCUGGCUUUGUUAUUAUUACAGUGUUAUCUGCACCCAGCCAGUAAGUAGAGAUAUGGAGAGAGGGGACAGCUUUGUCACGGACCUUUCUUUGCUUUCUUUUAUGAACUCCACUGGUCGUCCAUGGAUUAUAGGGGCUUUCCAUUGUAUAUAAAUACACUUUCCUAUCCUACUCUGCAAAUCCCAUUUUCCUUAAGCAUAUAGAAACCUAUGAUUCCAAUUUGCAUAUGCUGCUGCUUUGGUGAGUUUAGUGAUCAUGGCUGGCUCACCUGAUCUAUCAGCUGAGUAGUAAGCCUCCUUGGGAUAAUUAUCAAUAUCUCUUCCUAUCAAAAUGAGAUUAAGAGGGCGCCCUUUUUAAAGAGCCAGCCUGUCUUUCAAUAGAAACUAUUGGCAAUUGCCUUAGUCAUUCUCUUAUAUAGUGUAGUCCCCAUAGCAAUGGGCCUCGGUCUAGUGAGGUUUUGCUUUUUUGGGAAUCAUUGCUAGGAAUAAGGAUUGAAUUGCACCUGGUUUGGUCCUGUUUGACUUCAAUUACCAUAUGGAAAUGGAGAUCGUCUAACAUUAUGUUCCAGCACUGCCCCUGAAUUAAUCAACCAAGUAGAAGUUGAAGUUCAGUUGGAAGCCAUAUAGUCUAGUAGUUUUUUACUAUGAAUAGCCCCCUAUUGUUGAUAGAGAGCUUACCGCCCCGCCCUUUAUAGUCGCGGCUGUUGUCAUGGAAAAAGAGUUUGUUUUCUGUCAAAGAAGCAUGCUUAACACAGCCUAUAGCAUAAAGGCAUUCGAGCCGCGUCUAAACUAAAUGGUGGGCAAGGGCCCGUACUCUCUCUUCUAUGGAUAUGCUAUCCCUUCCGGCUAUGGUAUGGGGAAGGGGAGGUGAGAUCUACUCAUUGAUUUUAUAUUAGAUGAGCGGCCGUACUAUGAUCGUUCGGGAGACAUGGGCCCACGGUGCUACACACAAGAAUGAAUUGUUAUGCGGUCGGUAAACUCUUUCCUUUCUGCGGGCAGCCUAUCAAAUCGAAUCACGUAUUUUGGAAUAUGUCGUUACAUCAUGUACAUGUAUUCGCCUUUCCAUUAUUUUGGAUGUUCCUGCUCAUGCCCGGAUAGAGAAUGGGCACGACUCCCCCUCUCCCCGUUCUACCGUCCAAACAGGCCGGCCGUUCUAAGUUCCGGGGUUGGGUCGGAUAGGACCAGAUCCAAUCGGAUCUGAUCGUAGCUUUGAGUUCAGGUGCCGUACUGCGGCCGGACCGGAAAGGAGGGGGACAACGAACCUCCUGCCAAGAGGCCAAGGUUGCUUGCUAACUCUCAGCCACUUGUUAGAAGGAAGUGCAGCUUGAUUGUCGGGGGGAAUCAACGGGAAGGAAAAAAGAAGGUAGAUUAUUCUAUUCUAUUUCCUCCUUUGGUAAGGAUUGGCUUUUUGUUCAAGGGUAUGUUAAAAACCAUCGUCUUUUCUUUGUUUGUAUCACCGAGACACCCGAAGGGCCGGCCAUAUGUACCUCGGGAGCCCCGGCCCAUUCAAAUCAAAAUAGAACGAGCACCUACGACUAAGGGGAAUGGAAUGUCGACCACAGGGUGAGAGAAUCUUAUAAUACGAGGGCUAGUGACUGGUCAAGUCAUUAAACUUAGUCAUUUUGAUCAACAUGGCUGCAAGUGGACUGGGUUUAUGGGGCUAAACUGACUACGACCAAAGUCGUGGCUACUUCAACCAAAAAAAGGGCGACCCCCUAUUCAAACCAAAAGAAGUACCUCACCUCACUUACGAAGAAGUUGUUGGAGCUGGGCUCCGAACUAUGAGAGUUUGCUUUUUCUCUUUCUUAGAGCGGUCUGAUCAAAUAGGGGAUCAGACCACUCCUGGUGUUUUAACUAGUCAUUAAUGGUCGGCUUAAUUAGUACCCUUUCGGUAUGUGUUGCGAACACUUUCAUUUUUAGCCUCUCAUCUUCUCUAGAGAAGCAAAACUCGAACGGAUAGAACAGAUGGUCCAACUACAUAACUUUUUCUUUUUCAUUACUUCCGUGGUCGUGCCUCGUGGCACGGCAGCACCCGUACUAUUGAAAUGGUUCGUCAGUAGAGAUGUUCCCACUUUGGAUGACAUUCUGACAAGACUUGGAUAUACAAUGCCCUCAAGGUCUUGGUGUUGUAAUCGACCAACAGUGGAAACCAUGCAGUAUCUUUUUCUGAAGAGUCAAUGUGCUGAUAAGGUAUGGCAGUACUUUUCCUUGGGUGCAGGUCUUACACAUGGUGUUAGCUUACAGCAGGUAUUUCAAAGGUGGUGGAAACACCCUGCAAAUAUAUAUCUGAAGCCCUUAUAUCAAGCACUGCCCUGUGUAGUUGUCUGGGAGCUAUGGAAGAGGAGAAAGAAAAGAAGGUAUGGUGGUAAUAUCUCCUUGACCAGGCGAAUUUUUCAGGUUUCAGCAACUCUGCACAAUUUACUGGUGUACAGGUUUCCUAAGAUGAAAAGAUUGUCUUCUAAUUGGCCUGAAUUGGUUAGUGAGUUGGAGAGCUACAUCCUCAGGCUACAUUAUAGAAGAGUAUGUUGGGAAUUCCCUAGUGGACAAUGGAUUAAAUGUAACACAGAUGGUGCAUCAAGAGGUAAUCCAGGUAAGAGUGGUGCUGCUGUGGUGUUUAGAGAUGCUGCUGGUGAUUUUCUGUGUGCUGCUACCCGUUCAAACUAAUAUGUAUUCAGAGAUAAUGGCUAUUCAGUUAGCUGCUGAAAUCUGUGUGCAUAAAGGCUUCAGAAAUGUGGUGAUUGAGACUGAUUCAACCAUUGCUAGAUUGAUCAUGAUACAAGAGGUGUCUGCACCCUGGGCUGUCGAUACAAUAGUCAGGAAAAUUAUUACAUUGUUGAGGGAUAAAAAAAUGCGAUUUUCUCAUGUGUACAGGGAAGGAAAUGCUGUGGCAGAUAGCCUAGCUAAUUAUGCCAUUGAUGAGGAGAUUUCUGGCACUUUUGAGGAGUUCCACCAGCUGCCUGCACAAGCUAGAAAGCUUAUCAAUGUUGAUAAAGCUCAGAUUCCUUCGUUUAGAGUCAGAGUCCAUCCAUGGAGAUU